GAUGGGGACCCACCUCGUGGGUACGCCGCGUGCAUCAUCCACGCAGUAGGAAAACAAAAAGCUCAGUCUUCAGUGUCUCAGUAUUUUACUCUACUAGCCAUCGUCAAUAAUCCAAAAUUCCAAAUCAACAACGCAUUUCUACGAAGGCGUAGCUUCUUAGCCCUACGCGCACCAUAGAUACCAAGAGCAUGUUGUAUCAUCGCGCAUGUUAUACCGGGCGAUCCUCUCGUAACACCAUUUUUCAUGCACGCUUAGCGCCGGACCCCCAAUCUGAUUCGGUCACGGAUACAGCUCGAUCGGGUGGGCCGGUGAUCGAGUGGCUCGCGACGAUCACACCACCGUAGCACGAGUCCGAGCCGAGGACGAUCGGCGCGAGCUUCCGUAGCUGCGGGUAACAUAUCUUGAUCCGGAGUUGCGAACAGACCGACGGACGGACGACGACGAUCCAAGUCGAAACUCGUAGCCAGCAGAGCGUGCUUGCCCUAUGUAGGACGACGCCGAGGAGGCCUCGCCGUCGCAGCGCGUGGCGUCCUCGCCCACCAAGGGCAACGCCGUCGUCGUAGUCGUCGUCGCGAUGACGCUGCUGGGCGGCUUGGCGUGCCUAGGCCUGGGCGCCCUCUUCGCGCCGCGGGGGGGCCCCCACCACCUCGCCCGCCGCCUUGCCGCGGAGGCGGCCCGGAAGACCGCGCCGGGGACGGUCUCGAUCGCCGCCGCCGCGCGCGUGCUGCACCGUGGCGCUGCUGCUGUGUGGCGCCGCCGCCUUCCUCUGCUGCUGCGGCGUCGUGUCCGCGCGGCCCGGGCGCGGGAGGAAGGUCGGGUGGCAGAGCCAGCAGGCCCCUGUCACUGCGCAAAAAAAACCGCCUGGAGGAGCCACGGCCGGCGAGCGACCAGCUGCCCAGCCGCAGCAGCAGGAGCCGCCUCCUAACGCCACAGAGACAGAGCCCGUGGUCAGCGAGACGUCGCGGUCCGUCAAGACGGAGCAGGAGCUCCUUGCUUCCGACCCACCUGGAGCCAUGGCCACGAGCAACGACCGGGUGCCGGCCGGAAACCAGCAGAAGCCUCCUCCUCCUCCUCCUCCUCCGACCCCCAGACGGACGGCACGGCCCAGGCAACCGUCGCGGCGCUACAGCGCGAAGGAAUGGGAGCUGUGAUCCGUGUUGUUGCAACUUGCAAGGGUAUCUGAACCCUGAACUGACCCUCUCCGCAUGCUCUGCUCCUUCCUAGGGCCUAGGCUCCUUGCUCUACUGGAACAUUCCAGCUUCCCCACAGUCCAGCCAGUGAGCCAGGAGCGCGGACGCCUUGGAGAGAUGGGUAUGACACAUGCUGAAUUAUUCAGAUCACCUGUGCGUUAAGCAAUAGUCAUGCCUUCGAAUCUAGUAACUAUCUCCCACUCCCAGAUCAACAGCCUUGGCAAGAAAUUGAGGCUGGAGGUAUGGCCGGAUUAUCUGAAAGCCUGAGAGAAAUUUUGGCUGAUUUACCUGAACCUGUAUGAGAGCCUUUCUUCAGAACGUGUAUUUUGAAGCUUGUUUGUCUGAAGUAGCGGCGUUUUUUGUUUACCUGGGUUUACGUUUGUUCUUUGCUUUUGGGGUUGCAAUCCUGUUGCUUAGACAUGCAGAUCUCUAAAGUCUCAUUUAAAACAACACGAAACGCAAGAUACUUCGUAUUGAUCUUGCUUCUUAUCUACAUCGCAGUAUCUAGGAACACCAGCAAAUGAUUGGGAUGCAUAUUUUCUGUCUGCAGAUGGGUUUACUUGGCAGUAGAUAAACCAGACAGACAAUAUCUCAUACGACGAACAAACUAUGGCGCACGAUUUCAUGCUCAGUCGCACCUUGCGACCGGUCACCAUAACGCUGAAAACUCCUGAACAAUCUAUACAGAUGCUUGGCUUCCCCUGUGGUUUUCUACUACACAUCAGAAUCGCUAAAUCUCCAACCGCAACUCAACCGCUGUUACAACCAGAUCCUCUACCAACAAAUCCACGCAACACAUCUAUGCAUGCUAUCAUCCUAAGCUACUAUGCGAUUACACGACAGGCUCACAAAUUGCAGCCGCACCAGGUCACAGCAUGGCAGAUCAACAGCGACCAGAAACCCCCAAUGUUGAGGUUGGCGGGUGCCAAGCCACCAGCAGGAUGCGGCUAAGGCCCUCGUCGCUUGGUGCCUGUGGCGGCCUUGACUGGAAGCAGGCACAAUCCAAAUGUCAACGUUGACAAUGUUGGUUCAAUGGUCUCCACUAGUUAAUCAAUCAGAAGUAUGUGUCUGCAUCUGAUUCACCACCAGUUGCGCUGCAGGUGGGAACAUCAUUGGUCCUGAAAAAGGGCAGAUCGGUUUAAGGGGUUGCCAACUUUGAACAAAAACCAGCAUGAGAAUUGGAAGAUUAUGCAGACUAGUGUAACUAAGACUUGGAUUAGCACCUGGAACAGCGUUGAAACCAUUCACGGUAUGCUGCAAGGCUGGGUGUCCGUGAAGAUUAUUAUGGCUGCCCUUCAUCUCAACACCAUGUUCACCUCGAUUUAUUGGAAUCUGUGGUAUGGAUCCACAUUGCUGGCUUGCUAAUGCUUCAGAAUUGGUCCUCUGCACGGUGCUGGUAGAAGCAUAUGGCAUAGCAUGUGCCUGAGAUCCUGCCAAAUGGCUUGAGCUGGCAGCACAAUCCUCAGUGGCAGGGCCACUGUUAUUAGGUGGCUGCUCACCUGAUGCCGCGACAUUGUUUGGUGGUGCCAUUGCUUCUGAAAAUGCAGCUAGUACAGGUGGCUGAAAUGAGCUUGGUGGUGCUUCACCAUCUCCUACCCAGCCACGACCAAAUUUUGUUCCAGGAGGAAGGCUUCGCUCAAUUCGUCUUGAUGCCAUUUCCCAGCCAAUAGGACCAAGUUGUGCAGCAAAACGUGCCAGGCUGCGGGAAUAUGACUGCUGCAACUGAACCCCGACCUGAUAAAAACAUUGUGUUAAAGUGUGGUCAAUUGUGUCUUGCUAUUCUCUAAUGUUCAUGGAAGGCUGAAAUUAUAGUAGUGUAUCAUCAUUUACUUAUAGGACAGAAUUAGUUGGGACACUCAACUGGUACUAGCAGCUUCUUCGUCCCGUUGUAGGAGGAUGAUACCGGCAGAUCAUACAUUGAACUGGACGGUUGAGACUCGUAAUAUGUGCUUCGACGACUAUCUUCCAUCAGAAUUGGCUUCUUUCCCAUUUUUCCAGACCACAUACUCCCGUAACCUGGAACAAAAGUCAGACACCAACCAAGGUUAUAAGAAAAAUGAGUUAGCCAAAUUGGAUGCAAGUCCUUUGUUCACUCAGUACUUGUUAAAUGCUAGCCUCUUGAAAAGACACUUUUUGAAAGAAAAAAUGAGAGAGAAGUCAAAACCUGAGUAAUCUUCCAUUCUUUCUGUUUUCCGCUCGCCAGACCAGUUGUGCUCAUUUUUCCGAUUAGCAAAAGAGGCUCUCAGCACAUCUGCAAUCAUCGCUUCUUGCUGUGCAUGACGUCCACUAUUUGCAGCAUUAGCAAGUGUUGCCCCAGAAAAGUCUGCAGUAGCACGUUCUGCUGGUGGCCUCCCAACUUUUUGUUUGGCAUUAUUCUUGUUUGGAGGCCUGCCCCUACGAGGCUGUGGCUUUGGUUCUUCUGGUUCUGGCUCUGGCUUCAGUUCUGGUUCCGGUUCCGGUUCUGGUUCACUGGCAUCACUAUCUUGCCUAAGAUUCUCAAAAUCCUUUUUAGCAAUCUCUUGAAUACCUCGUGCCUGUAAUGCAUGGCAUAUGGAUGUUAAGUACACCAUAAUUCAUGAUUAUAUUCAAAGAUCAUAACAUGUAGGCUUAACGUCUGACCUGUCGAUAGUAUAUUGUAUCUGGUGAAUUGUAGCACAUUGCAUUUGAGCUUAUCAAGAACACAUCAUCCUGUAAAUUGAAAUUUCAGUCAUGUUGAAUGAGCUUGAUAAAAACACCAAUAGCAUAUUCUGAGAUCAGGAAAGAAAUAGUAUUUUGCAGCAGCACUGUAGGAAUGAUAAAAGCAACACAUAUUUGUUCCAAAACAAAAUCUGACAUACUUCUAGCAUGACUGCACGAGUAAGACGUAAUGCUUUCAAAAACACUGCGAUUACACAUGCUACAGUUUGCAGUUUUGGUUCUGACUAGAAAAUUUAUUCUUAAGAGAUGUUCAGCAAAGAUGUUUGAGCACAGAAGGAUUCUGCAUACAAGUUGGCUUGUGUUGGUGAUGUUCAAUGCAAGACAGUCGAAUGCACAGUGAAAAUGCAAAUCCAUGAUGUUGGUAGCAAUAUAUAUAAAUCAGAAACUUCUCAAAUAGUAAGUAUUACAAGUAAAGUCAUUAGCUAGAAGCCAAAAAAGGUGGCGUCCUAAUGGCCAGUGUUAACUUUUCAUGAAAUAACUCCACUUGUUCGGGCAUUACAAAGGCCGAAAUCAUCUCAUUUUACCAAAUGCCUGCCUCAUCUUUAAGCUCAUAAUUUCUGCUGAGGCCCAACAUACUUCACAAGAACAAAUGAAUUAGCAACUGAGGUACAACUUGAAUAUGAUUUGCCAACAUAAACAAACACAAAUGAGGCAAAUGGUCUCUGAGUUGUUUUUAGAGAAAACAUCUAGCUAUUUACGACCUUCCAUAGUACGGCGUGAAUAUGACUUAUACAAAAGGGAAGGAUAUGAGUUAUUUAGAGUGCUCUUUUUUUUUCAAAUAAUGAGCCUUUUUAAAUGGAAAAUUUGAAAGUGUCGAAUCAAAAGUAACACAGGCAGUGCAACGCUCGCAUAAUUUUUUGCACAUCUACAACUUUAACACUAUAUGGUACACGGGUCCAUCCCUGUGCUAUCAUGUACUUCGAAAAUAGCAUCAAUUCACUCUUUUCUGAAAAGAUAAGGUCAUUUAAUCGUUUGUAACAGCAUAUUUAAUCCAAAUACCUUUUCCAUCAUAAAAACUCUACUGUAUUUACGGCAGUAUAUUGUGUCCAAAUAAUUUUUUAACUACUGUUAUUGGCACUUGCCUUCCUAGUUAUAUGUACUGGAACCACAAAUACCACCAGCUGCAGUAGAUGAUCUCAUGCAAGUACAAUUAGGUGGUUAAAUGACAUGUCGCUGUGUUCUCUUAGCAAGUUUCUAAUGUGUAAAAUGCUUCUGUCAUUGAACAUGCUGCUGAGUUCACAACCAUACAUUGCAGCAAACAAAAAGUGACAUGAGAUAUCUCAGAGUAUGAGAGUUUCUUUAGGCACAUCAACAGAACAAAUGUAUAAACAUAUGCUCCCUCGGUCCAUAAAGAUAUGAACUUCAGGACAAGCUAAUUAGUAGCUUGUCCUGAACUUUCAUAUAUUUAAGGACGGAGGGAGUACAAUUUAAACUCAGCCAAAUAGUUGAAAAGCAGAAUACAGAGAUAUCAUGCCUCAGAAAAAGUUAGGUUGCAUAGUACAACCACAGAAAUCCAAACAGGAAGGCAAUUGUCUGCUAACCUAUUACAGUUGUGUCUCAGCCUAUAUGUAGAUGUUAAUCUCAAUGCUUGAACUGCCGUAAAACAAAUAAAGAAUACACAGGAGAAUUUCAAACGUGAAAUAGGUCUUUCCUUCAAGUUCCUGGAUUUACGUGCAUAUGUAGAGCAAAUCAAUACAAACAACAACGGAUAGGUGACUGAAUGCAAACAUAGUCUUGGACAAACGUUUUUCUAUUAAAAUCCUGUAAAGGUCAUGGAACCAAUAAAAUAGACCCUGGGCUUAAGUGCUUCACUGGAACGAAAACAUUAUAAGACUAAAUUUGAUAAAGAGUUUACAUGUUUAAAUAAAUUGUUAAGAGAAUUUACAUGAUAAAAUAUAUAUGUUGCACCACUCUUGAAAGCGUUUAGAUUGCCAAGAACAAUCAGAUGUGGAGUUACAACUUACAAGAUCUAGUACACAUGGAACACCAUCAGAGACAGAACCUAGCAGAAAAACACCCAGGUGUCCAAUUAACUAUUUGCAGUAGUGUUUCAACAUAUCUGGGCAACAGUCCAAGAGAGUGAACAUCUGCUCCUAAACUGUGCAAUCAGCAUAGAGCAAGAGGCUCCAAAGGCAACAGUACAAAGAGUUUCUUACCAAACUGGGGGACGCAAAGAUUUUACAAAUGGACUGUAAUAAGAAUCUAGAACGUGUGUGUAUACAAAGGUCAGGAAAAAAACAUUGUCGAAGAAAACGACAUGGUGAUGAGAUAAGUAAGCUAGCUGAUUAGCAAACUAACUUAACCACAACAUUUCAGAACAAAGGUGCAACAGCUUAUUAGUAGUUAUUACCAAACAAGCACAUGCAAUUUUGUUGAAGAAAAACCCAAACAAAAGAAAAACACAAACAACCUAAACAUAUCCUAUAACCCACCUCAAAUUGCUCCAAGUUGGAAUAGGCCCCCUUAUCAAGCUUCUUCCUUAUUGUCGAAAAAUCCAUUGGAUGCUUGAUAAUAUCAUGAUAGUCAGGCAGCUGGCCAUAAAUGGACAUGAACAGGCAAAUCAGUCAGGUUCGAAAAAUCAAAACCAACAAACCAAACAUAUAGCAUCAUCAUCUUUCAAAGCAGAAACAAACCUCUUCAGGAUCAACAGGCUCUGAGAAUACACCAUAAGUGUCCUUCCUGCAAGAAACAAGGACACACAAAGAUGAGAAGUCCUGGAGUGGAGAAUGGACGAGCUGAAGGCCAGGAAGAACAAAGCUGCGAGCACAGCAACUCACUUCUGUAGCCUAUCAAGGAUGAAGAGCAACAACUUUUUGUUCGGCAAAGGUGUUGUGGGCCCGGAAUCUGACGGCUCUGUCAAAUGAGCAAAUCCAACCCAUGAGCACAGGGCGAUCGGAGGCACAAGCAUUAAUUAAAGACAAGGAAAUUGGAAUGCAUCCAACAGUAAAAGAAUUAAAAAAAGGCAUCUUUGUGCACAUUUGUCCAGGUAUAUUUUUUGCCCCUGGAAAUCUGAAGAGUUAAAUGCCACAUAGCAAGGAGCACCAACCUUCACGCCCAUCCGUCGCUUUCCUCGUCUUUUCUCCCUGCAGCAGCAGAAGCGGAAGAUAAAAAGAUAUUUAGAAACAAAACAUCCUAUAAAUAAAAAUACUUACAAGAACCGAAAGAAAACCGGGGUAGAAAAUAAGCAGCAGAAAAAGUGGGGCUUUCGUUUACCAGCGCCAGUUACCAAGUACAAAGAUCUAACGAGGGCGCGAAAUGCAGCGAAAUUUGGCGCGAGAAGCAGACAAAAACCAAACCCGAAAAGGCACGCCUUUAAAAGCUUUGAGCCAGGGUGUUUAAAAAAAUUGCGCCAAUUAUUGUGACGACAGGGCGAUGCGACUAUGCGAGGGUUUAGGAUUAUCCCCCUCCCAAAUGAUUGGGAGAGCUGCUCUCAGGCUGGGCUGAGCAGAGCGGGGUUGACCACUGCGCCUCUCACUAUGGAGAUAAAUAAAUAAAUGCGGCCUUUUCAUGCCCGAAAUAGCAAAGAAAUUUCCUCGGGCGGCGCGCGGGCGCGCAGAUCCGUACGCGCCCCGGGGCCAGGGCCCCCAAAUUAGGCAAAUUCCGCUAGGGAUCGACAGAAUUGGCGCGGAUUCGGCUCAGAUCGAGUCGGAGAAGAGGGGGAGAAGGGGAGGGCGCCCACCUUGGCCGAUCCGUCGUGGAGGCCCAUGACGAGGCGAAGCUUCUUCUCGCGGCGGCCAGAGCCGGAUGCGGGCCCGUCAUCGUCCUCGUCGUCGGCGGAGCCGGGGUUCCGGCGGUUGGGGCGGCGCGCCUGGGGCUGCUGCCGCUCCUGCAGCUGCUGCUCGAGGCGGAGGCUGCGCUUCUGGAGGUCGAGCAGCGACGGGCGGCCCUUCUUCUUCCGGCGCCGCGGCGGCGGAGGCGCCGACAUCGCCGGGGACCGCCGCGACGGUGGCGCCUGCUGCUGCUUGCCCAUUCCCGGCGUUCUUUUUGUUUUUUCCUUUUUUUUCUUUUGCCCCUCGGUUUUGUGUGCGGGGGCGCCGUUGGCGUUGCGUGUUGGGGGGCGUGAGCUAGCAGCGGGGAGGUGGGUAGACUUUUCGGUGCGUUUUCUUUUUCUUUUGGGGGCGAUUUGGAUGCGAGCACGUGAGGAGCGUGUGCGCCUCAGCGCUUGCGUUUGCGUGCGCGGCUGAACCGUGUACCCACAGAGUCGAUCAGGAAAGAAUUCAGAACGUGAUGGCAACGUGGACGUCGCCGGCUCGAUCAGUAUCAAGAUACCCAUGGUGCCCAGUUAUCAUAGAAUCUGGAUUCUGUUGAUGAGAUAUUACGUGACUUUUACCCGCUCCUGAUUGCACGAUUCCGUGGUGUACGACCAUAAUAAAAGACUCCUUAGUUAAUUCAGAUUAGUAUGUCGUACUCAAUCCAAAUCCUUGUAAGAAGUAGAAUAUGUUACAAAAACAUAAAGCGGUAUUGCCAUGUGUUUGAUAAGUUGAAAGGAUAUAUUCCCAGAAAUUAUACGUUCUAUAUAUAUAUAUAUGUAGGGAUGUAGGGGUGGAUCGUGACCAUAAUGGUCCCUUCACAGUCCAACUCAAUCCUUAAUUAUUCUUGACUUACACUUAUAUAGGAUUAUAUAUAUGAUAUGAGCCCGUCUUAACUUAACUUAUUAUAUAUGAGUCCGGUCCUGAAGUUGUCUAUGUUAAAUUUUUAGGCCAUUUAAAUUUAUGAUAGGAAACUAAUGCUAUUAGAUUCGUAUUAGAAGUACUUUUUUUUUAACUAUGGAUGAACCUGAAUUUCAGUACUGACGGUGUCUCCCGUGAAUGCAUUCAAAUAAAUAAUUUUGUACUAAACAGAAUAGUAAUUGAGUAAAAUAUUGGUUAAAACUUGUCCUAACAAAAUGAAUAAGCCUUGUAAAAUGUGGUAUCAAAAGACAUGAAAACAUAGAGAGAAUCCUGGAGAAGUGAACCAUGUCACGCUAGAUUGGGGGAAGGGUCUCUAGUCUGUCACCUGAGAGCUGCUGCAAACAUGAUUUUAGUUUCCAUACACUUUUGCCGGUUUUGGGUGGUUAGUUGCUGGUUAGAAUUCAGAAAGAAAAGGGAUGCUAGUGUGUUGCUUCCCAGUUCCCACCCAAGUCCUCUAAAAACUAAGGGAAAGCAAGCAUGUGGUUUUCAGGCAAGGGCAAGAACAAAAGAACAGUAGAGAGGUGAGGUGACACCUGGGAACCUUGAGCUUCGUGCCCAUUGUUUUCUCCGAACACUUGGUGCCAGUACGGCAGUACCCCACUGUUAACCGUUUCCACGGACGCGCUCACGCACAUGCCCAGAAAGAAGCUUCCCCCGACGGAGGAUUCGUUUCCACGCAUGGUGCAAGCAGAGUCUGUAGUGACGUAGCGGUAGCACUAGCAGUAGGCAGUAGCAGUACUUUUUUUUCAUAAGAAGCAGUGUCCUCUUUGGCAAAGGCAGUGAAGUAAAAAAAAAACUACACGGCCGAGUGAAGCUACAGUCCCAAGAAAAAAAAAAUGGCCGUCUGCAGUGAGGCAGCAGUAGACCCCUCCUGGCCUCCUGGGUCAAAUCCGGUUGCAGUUUUCGUAGAAGGGCUCGCCGGCGCCGGCGCCGGCGAAGCAUGGGCUCCGUUGCGCGAGUGCGUGGGAGGUGCGCCGACGCCACGGCCGCGUACGAAUCGAGCGCUCCGGGCCUCCGGGGGGCGCCGGCCGAGCGCGGCACGCCGCUCGGUGCGUCCACGGCCCAGCGUUGGGCGCUGCUGCGUAGGAAUCCGACGGGCGGCGCAUGGAGACAGGAGACGCCGCGGGGAACGGCCAAACUAGCAUUCCGACGAGGCGCUGCGGCGCUGGUUGGCUUCUUUCUCGUGUGCGGCCGACGGAAGUGACGCUCGAACAAGCUCCGAGGCCUCUUGCUCAGCGUCCCGCGGAGAUCACCGUAGUUCGCUGGAGAGGACAGCUUCAGACACUGGGGCAUCUCCAGUGUCCACUGUGGACAGUGGACACCGGAGCACAGAUGAACAAGCUGACAGGCCAACAACAACAUUGAUUAUACAUCGAACGCAAAAUUUGUGUACCGCGUCCCAGCACGUCAGCACAAGGGUGCAACACGUCAACAAACUGAACAAGUUGUGAUAAAAAAAUUAACCCCUAUUCUGGUGGAAAAUGGAAGAUCGACUCGUGGGGGUUAAAAAAAAUGCUAUGCCCGCAGCAGAAGUACGAGGCUCAAGUUUUUGGUACAGCAACUUGCUGACUUGCUGAGAGUAGGCUACGGACGCAGAAGCACGAAGCUGAAUUUUUGGCACAGCAACUUGCUGACCCGGGAGGUCAGAAACAGCCAUGGGAGUAUUCCAACCUGCACCAAAGAGGCGAUCGCCGCGUCAGGGACUCAGAAAAUAGUACAUAGGUGCAGCUUUGUACCCAGUAACGUUGCAUCCAAGCAACGUCAUGUUUGGGAAAUUAAAAGCAGUUUCCUCAAUCAUCCAAUGAAGACUCCACGUUAAUUUAACAUGCAAACAAAGUUCACUCUGCUAAGGUGAUGACUUCUUCCUUUCACGGCAUGUGUUACCAAUAGAUUAUACAAUACUAGCCCAUACGCGUUGGGCCGAUGGCAUUCAAAUUUAAAAGUUCCAUGGUUUAUAGUAUUUACCACAACAUUGCCCGUAGCAGAAUCAACCCCCCUCAAGGAAAACAUCUUUCCUGCAAAAACAAUUGAGGUGUCACCAAUAUUAUUGGUUACAUGAAUCAAAAGUAGGACAGAGGCCUAGUGUAAACAAAGUUUUCUGACAGAGAAGGCAGCACAAGGAAGGACUGCUACUGAACAACAUAUAAGACAAAAAAAACAUUCCUGAUCUUAAAAACGGACCUAGUUGUGCAGUAUUUGCAAUUUAAAUACUGGUUUGGACUGCAUAAAUAAGUUAACCUUGUUUGGCCCAAAAAAAUCAUGUCUUUCUACUGUAUUAAUUAAGUAUAAAAUCACAUUAACUGGUAUUCUAGCAGCACUUGUGAAAUGCAUGUGGCAUAUAUGGUGUGUGUGUGUGUGUGUCACCACAAUCAGUGUUGCAAGGAAGGUGAGAAAUUCCUCUUGCAGUUCUGGCAUUCAGGUUGAACAAAAUACAACCAGAUUACUAAUAUUGGAUAGACUCUAUUGAUAAAUGAACAGAACAGUGAUCACUAAAGUGCAAAUACUGAGCAACAAACAAUCUAGAACACUCUGGCAAGUUGCAUCAACAUACCAAAGGGCUGUAGAAGAUGUCGUCGAACUGUUGUUACAGGAGUGCUCCAAAACCACAGAACGAGCAAGGCAUAAAUUAGUACCUAUUUGGUUGAAAAGAAUUAGUACUAAAGAAAGUAUAGUGCAUGGUUAAACAAAAAAACAAACAUAAAGGCAAUUCACAAAGAAGCACCUUAGUAACCAGCAGAAUUUUUCCGUACUUGUCAUAUAAGGAUUGCUUCCCUUUAGUGUCCUGUUCCUGUACUGUAAAGCAGACAAAGGGGGAAAAGGAACUUAAGAUCGCUAAAAUGCAUCAUUGCAGCACCAAUUCAUUCUACAGAAUAACAGAAGUAACAAACAAGCAAGGAAGCUUUGCUUCCAAACAAACAAUAACAAAGCUAUGGCAUACAAUUAUUCAGCAUUUCCAAAAAUUAUGGGGCCGAAAGACAAUAUUCCGGUGCUCCAUUACAGGGCAACAACUACAGAACAUUGAGAGUUCAGCACUCACUUUUUGUCAGUUCCUUCUCCUUGGCAACAGCCAGACGCUUGAGUUUAGCAGCUUGUGCAAAUGUGGACGGCCUACCACACAUAUUCAGGCAAAUAAGUGAGAUGGAAACCUUGCAGUUGCAAAUCAUUCUUUGGUUAGAAGAGAAAUUUUGGAUAAAGAAAAGCAGUGAUAUGAAAAUUAGUAGAGUUCGAGUCACGGCAAAGGAAGGUUAAUGGCCUACGUUGACAGCUCAUUUGCCUCCUUCAGAAGUUGCUUGAUUUCAAGCCGCAGUUUGAUCUGCUCAUCACUUUGUGAUCCCCUCUGGAUUAUAAGCACAGAACACAUCAGCGACCAGUGAAAACACUAGAGAACAUAAAUACAAGACCGCGGACUGCAGGCUAUAAUAGAUGCGCAGGAUAAGAAAACUCGAGCCUGCAUUCCACAUCCACGCCCAACAGUUCAGAAAUUAGCCCCAAAAUUCAAAUAGCUUAGAGCUAAAGGAACAAUUUCCUCGGAAUUAGUGUUCGAUUCAUUGAAGAAAUAGGUGGAAUCGCUGGGUGGUUACUCUUUCGCCCAAUCAGAAUUCACCGAAGAUCCAGGGCUCCAGACGAGACGGAUGGGAGGGGCAACGCGCGAGGAGGGGGAGGGGGGCGUCGGCGCUAACCUUUUUGGCGAGGUCGAGGUAGCGGUCGACCAGCUGCAGCGCGGAGACGAUGAGGAAGACGAAGAUAGCCGCCAGGGCCAUGGUCGUCGACCGGCGUCGGAGGCGGAGGUCUCUUCCGUCUCCGGUUGGGUCAGGGACUCGCGGCGCAUCGGAUGUGGCUCGAGCUCGACGGUCCGACCGAGCCCGGCCUUAGUCAUCCGCUGGACGCUUUUCGAUAGGCCCAUUUGAACUCUCCAUGGCCCACGGGCCGCUUGGGCAGCUGACAUUCGAAAACCACCAAUCAGUAGCCUUAUCCUCUAGUAAGGCCCAGCCCAAACAUAGUCAACUUGAACAUUUGAGCCGCUGAGCCUUGCUCCACUCGUAUGAAUGGCCGAAAGGUAGAAUAAUCCGAAGGAGGCCACGUCACAUGAACCAAUCCCAUCAAAAUAUCUCCCGCGGAUCAACUGGCCAGUAGGACGCCACCGAGCCCAACACUUGGCGACACCAUGGCGCAGCCCCUAAAAUUCACCGCGGGCCACGGCAAAAACCCAGCCGAACACCCCCGCAAAAAUCCCGCUCGCCGCUCGUCCGGCGCGGUGAGAAUAUCUGGCGGCGAGCUGGUGGCCGGCGCGCGGCCACAUCAGCCACCCCAUCCGCCCACCUCACCUCCGCCGCGCCAAUGGCAACUCGGCUUAAGAUUCCACGAGAUAAGGACCCGAUCGCCCGGCGACACUAUUUAGCCGGGCGCGCCCGCCCCGACACUGUCACUCCCACCACAGCAAGCAGCUAGCGACCGGUCUCAGCAACUCUCCCUCGCCUCACGCAAUGGCCGCCUCCACCAUGGCGAUCUCCUCCCCGGCGAUGGCCGGCACCCCCAUCAAGGUGGGCUCCUUCGGCGAGGGCCGCAUCACCAUGCGCAAGACCGCGGCCAAGCCCAAGGUGGCGGCGUCCGGCAGCCCGUGGUACGGCCCCGACCGCGUCAAGUACCUCGGCCCCUUCUCCGGCGAGCCCCCGAGCUACCUGACCGGCGAGUUCCCCGGCGACUACGGCUGGGACACCGCGGGGCUGUCCGCUGACCCCGAGACCUUCGCCAAGAACCGUGAGCUGGAGGUCAUCCACUCCCGCUGGGCCAUGCUCGGCGCGCUUGGCUGCGUCUUCCCCGAGCUGCUCGCCCGCAACGGCGUCAAGUUCGGCGAGGCCGUCUGGUUCAAGGCCGGCUCCCAGAUCUUCAGCGAGGGCGGGCUCGACUACCUCGGCAACCCCAGCCUGAUCCACGCCCAGAGCAUCCUCGCCAUCUGGGCCUGCCAGGUCGUGCUCAUGGGCGCCGUCGAGGGCUACCGCAUUGCCGGCGGCCCGCUCGGCGAGGUCGUCGACCCGCUCUACCCCGGCGGCAGCUUCGACCCCCUCGGCCUGGCCGACGACCCCGAGGCCUUCGCCGAGCUCAAGGUGAAGGAGCUCAAGAACGGCCGCCUCGCCAUGUUCUCCAUGUUCGGAUUCUUCGUCCAGGCCAUCGUCACCGGCAAGGGCCCACUCGAGAACCUCGCCGACCACCUCGCCGACCCGGUCAACAACAACGCCUGGGCCUACGCCACCAACUUCGUCCCCGGCAACUAAGCUCCAUCCGCUCUGCAACUUCAUUGUCUUCCGGAGGGGGCGUACGUGGAUUCAUUGAUGCUGCAAGCUGCCGCAUGUGUGUCUCUUGUUUCACGUUGCAUUUCAGGGGCAGGUCGAGAUGAUGAGUUGGCGUUGUACACUAAGAUGAAAGAUGAUGUUUGUGCAAUAGUAGUGAUUUUGUAUUUUUGUUCCCUGGUGGUUAAUCAUUGAUUUGUCAGAUUUUAAGGGCACCUUUUCUUCUCCUGCUUUUUACACUUUAUUUUAAAAAAAUUCUAAAAUUUACUCUGAACACCAUAGCCAUACAGCGCUUAGACUUGGAUAAAGAACAUUGAGCCAAGCAAGCGACAUGAACUUGGGCUCAAAUGGUAGAAUUAGUCAAUUACUGAUGUCCUGUUAUAGUGGAUUAGUGGGCACUGGGCGCCAGUUACAUCAUUACAUGGGUGCCAACAGUAGCAAGAGAGAGAUUGCAGGUGCUCUCGCGGGCGGCUGGCUAGGAGACUCGGGUUUGAGUCCUGCUCCUUCCUAAUUCGAAGUGGGGAGGCUGUCUGUCAAGUUUUAGCAAGAGAGAGAGAUUACAUAGCAAACAAAAAGCACCAGCAGAGUCUUGGUUUUUAAAAUUCCUAAUUCGCACCCUCUUAAAGGCAUCACGGUCCAUUCUAGAUUUUGUGUAAUUAAAUAAAAAAUUUGUUGAAGGCAAAACGAUUUCUGCAUGAAAACAAAGCAUAACUUCACCCAACAACAAACCUCUGUUCACAACUUAUGCCACUGUUCACAUACCCCUUUUAGACUGAUCGUUCCUGUAAUCCUUUCGUUUCAAGGCAUAUCAGUACCCAUUUCGAUCAUUUUCUUGGAAAGUUUCCACCCAAGUGACCAAAUGUCGGUACUGCAUCGCUCUAUCGCCCCUCCAGAACUGUAAGGGUCACCGUGUUGUUGGAGUUCUGGGAGCUGUCCCCUGUCUGCUCUGUUUCAGUGUUCCUCGGUGCAAAAUACGCAGGCCUGUCUGGGGCUACGAGUGACUUGCUUUCGCUCUCCAGGAUACGCACAAUAUACGGCAUGGAUGGCCGAUCAUUCAGGUUAUCUUGAACACACAGGAGUGCUAAAUGGAUGCACAGCAUUACCUCAUCCAAGGAGCAACCUUCCACAAUCGACGAGUCUAUUACAGUCUCUGUCUUCCCUUCAUUCCAUAGGUUCCAUGCCUAUACCAAACAAGAAUCGGAAGUCUCAACUUUGAGUUUUCUGUCUCCAUAUUUGUCCUUCAUAGAGCUGUUCAAAUCUUUGUGUCGAAAUAUGUAAAGAAGAAAACUUACAUAGACUAUAAGAUUGGGGAAGUCUUCAAUGAGAUCGGUGGAACUUACCUAACACCACUUACAAUCUCCAGGAGCAAUACGCCGAAGCUAUAAACAUCGGACUUCACUGAAAAGAUGCCCUCCAUAGCAUAUUCAUGAGCCAUGUAGCCACUACUACCAACAUAACUUGUCAAUAUAAUGCAACGGAUUUUGGUGAAACAAUAAUUUGAGCAAGCUAAUUGAACAGAACUCACUAUGUUCCAACGACUUGCUUAGUACUCGCUUGCUCUUGAUUGUCACCAAAGAUUCUUGCCAUGCCAAAGUCUGAUAUCUUUGGAUUCAUCGCUGCAUCCAGCAAAAUGUUGCUCGCCUUAAGAUCUCUGUGGAUUAUUGUCAGUCUUGAAUCUUGACGGAGGUAAAAAAGACCUCGAGCAACCCCUUUGAUUAUCUUGAACCUCGUGGGCCAAUCCAGCAGUGAUUUCCUUGCACCGACUGCAAAAGAGCAACAUUUUCACGAGCAAGAUGAACUGUUUUCAGUGUCUCAAAACAGCACUAUUUCACAUUCUCAAUAAUUCACAUCCACUAAUUCACUAACUCGCAUUUACAUAAUGACAAUGCAUCCAUAUGAAAAUUCACUAAUGACACUCAUAUUACUCAUAUAUUCAAUUAAAACUUCAUUUACUAUUCCUUAUUUACAUGAAUAAUACUCAUGCACUAACUAAUUUUUUCACUAAUCACACUCAUAUUCCUCAUAUAUUUACAUUCACUUUCACAUAUUACGAACCAUAUAUAUUCACAUUUUUUCACUUAUACAUUAACUAAUUUACUAACUAAUUCAUUAACUAAUUCAAAAGGAAAAAAAUGGAAAAAAAUCAAGAACUCACUUGCUGCCAAGAGAGGGCGUGGGCCGGCGGGGAGGAGAGGACAGGGUCACUGCCGAUGGAGGGAGAUACCGCCGACGACUACAAGAGUGGCAUCCACCGAGGGUCCCACAGAUCCGGAGGCGCGCACGGCGGUGGGCUGGAUCCAGAGGCGCGCGGCGGCGGGCCGGCAAGGCGGAGGGCCGAGCCGCCGCCGAGAGGAGCCGGCGGGGAAGAGGAAAUUUUGGCAGCUUAACGCCCCCGUCUGCAUGAAACGAAAAUUUUACUAAGUUCUCGACCCAUUCAACAUAUAUAGAGCAGGGAUUUUCAGGGGUGGGUGACUGUGACGCCCUGAAAAUUUACCAAAUUAAAAUUUCGCGCUAAGAUGUUUUAUUGAAACCCUAAUCACCUCCCGGACUCUUCACCGACCAGACGCUCGGCUCCAGCUGUUGACCCAGCCCCUUUUCCGAUGACCGUACCCUCUUUUUCCUCGUCGCCGUCCCAUCCCGCGCCGCUCGGUGGCCUGCCGCCCACGCGCGAUCACCGCCGCGAUUAGCGCCGGCGCGAUUCCUUUCUCCUCGCGCAGCGCGCGAAAGCCGCGCGCGCGUGGCCGACCGGCCGCGGUCGCCACCGUGAUCGGCACCGACGCCCCCCCCCUCUCUCUCUCCUUCUCCUUUUUUUCUCUCUCCCAUUUCUUUUCUUUUUCCCCAAACUCUCUUUCUCUUCCUUUCUUCCUUUUUUUUCCUUUUUCUUUCCUUCUUUCUUUCCCCCCUCCUUCUCUUUUUCCUUCCCCUGCCGCGAGCCCGAGCCCAGGCCGUGCGCCUGCCUUGCCCCGGCCACGCUACGACGCACGCGCACGCGCAGCGCGUGGCCGUGCGCAGCACCGUGCCGCCCGUCACCCACGCCCCCGCUCUGGCCCGCGCCUCGCCGCGCUGUGCGCGCACGCGCGCGCCCGGACCCGCGACGCCGCGCUGCCCGCCGCUGCCGCGUUCCGCCCCCGCCGCGCCGCCCGUCGCUAGCCGCGCCGCCCGCCGCUGCUACACCCCGCCAUCGUCCUGUGCUCGCACCGCACGCCGCGUCACGACGUGAGCGAACGGACGAACGUCAUUAAUGGCGCUCCGCGCCGCUCGCCGACCUUCACCUACCCCCGGCCUUCCCACCGCCUCAUCCCGCCUAUAAAUCGGCCCCCUGCGCGGCUCACCUCCCCCACAGCCUCCACCGCCGCCCCUAGCUUCCUCCCCGAGCCCCUAGUGCCGCUCCGCCGUGCCCCCGAGGCCGCCGCCGCCCGCCUCUGUCGUCCCACCUCCACACAACACCCCGGCCCAAGGUAAGGCCGGGAACCACUUCCCCUAGCCCCCCUCUCCCUCACCCCCCUGCCCCGUGCCACCCCUGGGCCCUGGCUGGCCGAGAUGGCCGCCGCCACCGUCCUUUCCCCCUUUCCUCUGUUCGGUCACGGGAGGGAGGAGGAAGAACAGGGCAAAUUGCCCGAUAACCCCCUGCCUUUGUUCUCGUUUUCAAAUGAGGAGCCCCCCUCUCUAUUUGCUUCCUUUCGCAAAAGAAACCCUGCCCAUUCUAUUAUUUCAAACUGAACCUCUCCAUUACAUAAAAACCUAAUUAUACCCGACCCCUCUAGCAUGCCCUGGGUAUUUCUAGAAUUCGCAAAAAGGUCCUUACUCUUUCCGGAUAGUUACGAAUAAGCCCCUAGACCCCUAUUUAACCCUUGAAACCCCCUUCACCUCGUCAUUUUAUGCGUCAAACGACCUCCGAUCGACCUGAAACUUUACCACGCCUUUCUAGUAUAGUUUUAACCAUGCCAUUAAGAAACCACCCAAAAAUAUUACCCCUACCUCCGUAACUAAAUUAUUUCCGAUUCAAGCUUAACGAUAAAAGCUUUUAGUUCCUUCGCUUGAUUGUGUGCCUGUUUGCUUGCGUCGUAGGACACGGAGUGAACGAGGAAGGCCCCGACUGUGACCAAGCGAACGAGGAUCAGUUCUGCGACCCCGAGCCCGAGGGACAGUACUUCGAUCAGGACCUCCCGCAAGGAUUUGACGAUGGCAAGUUCAAUCCCGCCCUUUGAUGCAUGUUUCUGUCCUAGUUUUUUUAAACACAACCCAAUGGCCUGUUUUAUAAAAUUGCAUGGUUUUGCUUGCUGAAAAUAUGGUAGGGUAGCCACCCUUGUUUGUGAUAACCAUACCUUGAUCACCUGGUUUUAUAAAGGAAAUGUGUGUGUGUGGGAAGGGAUAAAAUAUGGUUUUGAAAGAUGAGUCAGACGGGAUGGAUGGCAUUUCUGUGUGAAUUGCCGUUGGUGUGCUCGUACCUGUGUGGUUGAGCGAGGAAGGGAGAUAUCCAUCUUGUCACCCCUAAGGACCGAGUUGAUGUGUCAUCUCACCUAGCUUCAUGUCGUGCAAACCACUUGACCGUUGUAUGGGCAACGGCUUAGCAUAAAUCCCACUAGUUAGUCUGCUAGCCAACAGGAGAGCUGAGAGCAACGGGUGAUCAAGGAGAAGGGAUAAGCUCUGUGUGACUUAUGCCCGGUUAAAUCUUGGAGAUAGGUCGAAUGACCCCUUGAUGGAUCCCGUGGUGGCUAGUCAGGUCUAGCUAAGGUGGGUAAUAACUUUGUUGGGAUCUGCACCGACACUAAGGUGAUCGUGCUGUGGUACCCCACCUGUGGGUAAAGUUGCAUACCUCUGCAGAGUUAAAAUCUAUUCGAAUAGCCGUGCCCACGGUAUUGGGCAAGUUAUGAUGUGGUCACAUAACUGGUGUUUCUCUCCGGGAAUGGUUGGGUUGGUGUAAGGUGUCUGGAAAGUGUCCGGCAGUUGUGCCGUGUGCUACGGCGGACGGGGAGUCCGGUAGCAAUUUAAAACUUAGAUCCUGUGCGGAUCGACUUCGUGUGCUCCUUGGUACUAGAAAACUUGUUUUGGAAAUGUUUUAAAACAAACCUUUGCAUACAACCGAGUUUUCCGCAAAUGAACCAUAACCUUAUCCUUGGAUUGUCCUGUGCAUUGAUUUCUGUUAUACCCCCCUCCGUGGGUGUGAUUGGACUUGCUGAGUACGUUCGUACUCAUCCCAUUCUUACUUUUACAGUGGAAGAUCCUGACUACAUUCCCGAAGACGUCGAGUAGGGUUCCGUCCUGCACCCAGUCUUGCCUGUGGUUAAGGCCACCGCUGGAACUCCGCAUGGCGCACGACUCUGAGGACCCUCUUUUCGUAGCUAGUGUAGUAGUGUGGGUUUUAGUUGUAAUCCUCGCGAUAGUGGCGCUUCACUGCCCAUUACCGCGAAGAGCUGUACGGUGACGUACCAUCUGAUGUAAUAAAAGUGUUAUCAGGCUCCUGGGACUGAUAAAGCAUCAUUUUUAAGUCUUCCCUGAUGGGGGGACGCUUCAGUGACCCUCCUAGAAAUAGAUUUUCAGGGGCGGGCCCUACAAAUUAUUUCUAGGGGCGGGUGGGGGAUCACCCACUCCUAGAAUUUUUUUCAAUUUUAUACUAAAAAUUUCAACUAAUUUAAAAAAUAUAGCAAAACACAUCCAAAAAGCUGAAAUUUUUACCCUAAGACUAUUGCCACCUAUAGAACUAGAAAAAAAAUAUGACAACUAUAUUUUAGUGUAAUAAUAGUUAAGAGUGUUGAAAUAACAAUGUAGAGUUCUCCAACACUUAGUAUCUCGUACAACUCAAGCCAUCUUUACUAAAAAUUUAAUUAAUUCAAAAAAUAUAGCAAAACACAUAUAAAAAAUGAAAUUUGUACACUAAGAGAGCUCCAUUUGAGUCUUAAAACUACCAAAAAGUUUAGAAAAGACAUGAGAUUAGUAUCAACUUACCUCCUGUAACCCCCAACUCGAAGGAAAUCAUGUUUAAAAACCUCCCCUACUCUUUUUUCUUUUUUUGGAUUUUCAGGGGCGGGUGGCGCCAUCACCCGCCCCUGAAAAUGAGCCCCACUUUUAGAAGCUGAUGGUGCCACCCGCCCCUAGAAAUUCUAUAUUUAGGCGGGUGGCGUCAUGACCCGCCUGUGAAAUAGGGCUCAUUUUCAGGACGGGUGAUGGCGUCACUCGUCCACUAUAGAUACAAUUCUAGGGACAGAUCUGCUACGUAACUCCGCUUAUUUCAUAGAAACGGGUUAUAUUUUGAUCUGUCUGUAGAAAAAAAUAAGAUGUUACUGCACAUCUCAUCUUUUAGUAGUGUGUCCGUCAUGUAGCCCAUCCAAGGCGAGCUGCGCCAGUGCACGGGCGACCCGUUCCGUAUGAUCAUCUGCAUGCAGCGGCCUGUCCUGGUCCGCGCCGAAGGCGAAGCUCCCCGACGACGGGUCCUCGGGGGCCUUCGAGGACAUGAUGCGCACAGCGCACCCCGGAGCGUGGCAUCCGUAGGCGAUCCCGAUCUUCAUGCCGGGUAGGAACGUGUCGCCGGGGUGCUUUGAAGCUCUGCCACAAGCCCACAAGGUGGUGCCGUUCGGCGACCGGACGACGAGGUUGCCGGUGUUGAGACGCACGGCCAUGAAGCUGGAGCCUGUCGAUGUCCCCACCGUGCCGGUUUCAGGCGGUGACAGGCGUGAGCCAUCCUCCAGAGCGCUGCGCUGGAGAGCCUACGUGCUCCGCACCAUCCAGUAGCCACAGUAUUGGGCGCGGCCGUGCGGGCUCCGUCGUAUGUUGAAGGAGAGACAGACGGUGACCGCCAGUGGAUACGCAUCCAUUUUGUUGUGCGGUUGCGGUUUAUUUGGUGGGUCACCACUGACCAUUUCUGUCGGGCGGGCAGGUUUUGAUGGGCUAAGCUUUUAUAAAAUUAGGCUAGAUCCUGCUAGUGGGUUUGAGAUAAACGGGCUUCGCUACAUCAUAGCCUGCCUCUCAGGUCGGGGAGUUUUUCCCCCUCCUGAUGUCGUGCCGAACUCAAGUCUAGAUUUGAAGCCCACAAUCUUGGAUCCCAGACUGCGCUGGGUUGACGUUUUCAGUUUUUUCAAAAAGGGGUCAAAAAAAUUAAAUUCGAAAAAGGGGUGCCGAUUUCGAAAAUUUCGAAAAAUGGGUACCUCCCGUCCGACCAACGGGCGGGAGCAUGGGGCCGGAGACCUCCCGCCCAUCCAACGGGCGGGAGGCUCCAAAUCUUUUUCCAGGUCCCUCCCAUGGUGGCAAAGACAUCCCGCCCGCCCAACGGGCGGGAGGUCGUUCGCGUCGCGCUGCAGCUGCGCACGGCACCUCUGACGCACGCCGUUUCCUGUUGGGAGAGCGGUCGCUGUCCUGGACUAGACUGCUGGUACGCUUUAUUAGUCUUGUGCAGCAGGUAGCGAUCUUUUUGGCUGCAAGGCAUCCCGCCCAACGGGCGGGCGGGAGGUUAGUUUUUUUAGAUUUAAUUCGAUCAGUUCUAUUACUUGGCUGUUUUUAUGUGAAAGUGUGACAGGAUCUUGUUUCUUUUCCUUCUUUUCCUUUUAUAUGCACAGGAAGAAAAGAACAAAAAGUGGAAGGUAGACGGAGCUCAGUAUGACAAAAGGUGAAGCUGUCAAAUCCACACAGAGGAAAAAAGACACGCUGUUACAGAACAGUGACGGUCAGGCAGUACAGGUGAAUGUGCGGUAGAGCCAUGCAUGCUCUACGGAGCUAGCUACCUAGACAGAGGAGACCGGAGCUAGCUACCUAGACAGAGGAGACCGCAGCAGCAGCCGUGACAGGGAUUAUGAGUGCAGCAGCAGCUACGUGGAACCUCCCGCCCGCCCAACGAGCGGGAGGUGGCCUAAGCAUCCCGCCCGUUGGGCGGACGGGAUGCCCCGCGUUAGGGAUCUCUUUGUGAAUAAAAAAAGUUUCUUAUUCACGAAGAGAUCCUCGGGAGGGGCUAAAAAAAGAUUUGGCACCUCCCGCCCGUUGGAUGGGCGGGAGGUUUCCGGCCCCACGCCUCCCGCCCGUUGGUCGGGCGGGAGGUACCCCUUUUUAGAAAUUUUUCAAAUCGGCACCCUUUUUCGAAUUUAAUUUUUUUUAAACCCCUUUUUUAAAAAAAAUUCGUCCGGUGGCAGCACGUUGAACAGCCUAGAAGCGCACUUUUCUAACCGGGCUCUCGCGGUAGCAUCCUGAACAAAAGUCCAAAUCCAUCACCAGACUUCUCCAACCCCAAUAUCAUGUACGUAAAUACGUAAUCAUCAUGUUGUCAUAAGUUACUAUAUAUAGCAUUUUCCGGUUAUAUAAUCAGCUAUGUUCGCUUGGACUCAUGUGCGCUCGGAGUCAACAAGGAUUCCCAUUUCCCAACCAGGCCUGUACCCAAGUUUUUAGGCCCCCCGAUGCGAAAUACAAAAUGAGCCCCUAUAUUUAGAGAAUAGAAAUAAUAAAAAAAUGUAUUUAGACUUCAUCACAUAAUAGUACCAUAAGAUUUUAUGCUGAAUGGAUAAAAAGCUAAAAUAUAUUUAGACUUCACUAUGCUAAAUAUAAAUAACCUAAAUAGAGUAUUAUAUAGUUUAUAGUAACAGGAAAAAGGGGAAUAUUUGCUUUGCUUGUGAUCUGGAACCUUGAUGCGCUUGGCUUGUUAGAAUAUUAGACCAGAAAACGUGAAGCCGUGAUGCAGCUGCAGGCAACCCAGGGGAAGGACUUAAUUCAUAUUUACAGGUUUUUGAUGUAGUCAUGCUUGAUCCCGACGGACUCGCCGGUGCAGUUUGCGGCGGCAGCUCAAGGAUGGCAGGAGUAGCUGGGGCCUGCCCUCGCGCUAAGCCGCUUAUCGCCGCUGUGUCGGUCUCUUACGUCAAUCGAAUGCAAGCGUAGCUGCUCGCGACUGAGGCCACCAAGUCGCUGGUGCCAUGCGCUUGGCAGGCUGUAGAAAAUUAGAAAUUAACCUGGAUUUAGAUGGACUAACCGCCGAUUAGGGCCCCUCAAAUUUGGGGGCCCGGUGCUGUCGCGCCGUUUGCACCGUAUAAUGUAUGGGCUUGUUCCCAACUCCUUCCGUCGAUUCCCAAAGACUAGGUCGCCGCAGCCUAACUAAUCCGGAUAGAGGUGAGGCAUCAGCACCAACAUUAGACUUUGUUUGGGCCCAUUUUCUUGUCAGCGUGUUCCAUAUAUGUGAAACGAUAAUCUUGGAACAAGACGUCCGAUAGCGAUUUAUUUAAUUUAUGAGACGCUUAUAUCCUGACGUGCACUCCAAAAACAGAAGCAGGAGCUCGCCAUCCGAUUUUCAUGACUUCCAUGUCCUUCGAGUGCUCGUUGGUCUUGUUCGUCGCCGUCAUUUUUUCCGCCCACCAAAUUUUCCCAAAUCCAUCCCCCACGCACCCCGAGUUUCCAUGCUGCCGGCGCCCAAUCCAAAUUUGUUGGAUUCAUAUCAAAUCGCUGCAGCUUAGAGCAUCUCCAGCAGCCCCCCAACAACAUCUCUUAAUAAUAUAGUAUUAGAAUGUUUCAAUACUAUUUUUAUAGAUUAUUGAAAGAGAUGCUUUUAUAGUUUCUCAAUAACCUUAUCCCAAUACAAUUAAUAUAUUGGGGAGCCAAAAUUCUCACUCUAUUUAAGGGGAGUUAGAGUGAAAUAUUAGGACAACCCAAUAGUCACAGGGGAAAGAAAGAGAUUUUGAGGAAUUUCUGAAGUAUAUCUUCCUUCCAAUAUUAUUAGAUUAUUAGAAAAAAAAGAGUGCUGGAGAUGCUCUUGCAGCGGAACGCGAUCCCAAUCUCGCCCCGUUCUUCAUCGAUGGGCGCCCAGCAUGUUUGCCCUCGGCUGCCGCUCCUCCUCCCCUGCCGGCGGCAGGACGUGGUGGCCAUUCCAGCUGCACCUCCCCGGCUCUCCUCCAUCUCCCUCCUUCGAGACGGUAUCCACAACACUAAUAACCGCUCCCCCUUCCAUGGUAUGCUCACCACGCCAUGUGAAAUAGGUGUUGUGCUCUAGACUGGUGAGACCCUUGAUCUAGUAAAACUCGAUAGACUUCAGUUAACCAAACUUCAUGGGCUUCAAAGGGUGAGACUGUUGAAUGCUGCUCCGAUAGAACCAACCUCCAGCUGAUGAAAAUGUCUGGGUUCAACAUGUUGCAAAUAUAUAAGUCUUAGGUUCCGAUUUGACUUUCCAGAUGUUGCAAGGUAUAUUCUUAAAGAAAAUGGGAUUUUAGAUUAGAUGUUGCAUGAAACAUCUCCUUUUGUUACAGUGGGAAUUUGGUUUACUUGUGAUAUCAUAAGAUCGGAGGUUAGCAAGCUCUCACGCACUUCGGAUGUUGUAGAAGGUGGACGUCGACGUUGCAGACUUUAUUUCUGCAUAUUUCCGGUCUUGUGGAUGUUGCAUAAACAUAACGUCACGUUGCGAUAGGAAUUUUUUUAUCCUACAAUAAAAAGAUAGUGUCAGUUUAUGUAUAUAUUUUUAAUGUUACAAUUGAUAAUUUCUUAUGUUGCUGUAGUUAACGUCUGAUGUUGCGAUGGACGUCCGAUGAGAAAUUUUUCAUCGGACGUCCGGACGCUAGCAGUUCGGUACGUGAAAUCUCAAACUCACCUACGUAAGUCCAUCUAUAUAUAUAUGUAAUUCUGGUGCCGGUGGUUGAUGACGCCUGGAGCCUGGAGGGCUACUACUUUUUCUUAAUAAAGGAAAGGAGUCUUCCUUUGGUCUGAACUAGCCUGAUGACGUUACUUUUCAAAAAUAAAUAAAAAAACUAGCCUGAUGUGUAUUUUCCAAACACAUACAAAGAAGUCAGUAUUCCACUAAUGGAGGUUUCCUCGGCAGCGUUUUGGUGACGUUGCACGUACCGACUGGCUGGUCUCCGCAAGCUCCUGCAUGCACAAAUGGCAAGGAAAUACAGAUAUCAAAUGCUCGGGUAAAUUAUUUUGGUUUUACCGGCCGGCAAGAUAUACUGCUACUGCACAAGUUCCGGAAGCCACGACGCAAUUUUCUCGUUGGAAAGUUUGACCACGUAGAUUUCUGCAGCGGUCUAAUAAUAAACUCGUUGAUUGCGGGAAAUACUACAAAUAUUAGUAAAUUUUGAUUGAAAGUCGACAAUGUGGUUUCGGACGACCUACGUUCUUCUACGGACGACAAAGCACUUCGUCUUUACAAUUCUAGAAACCCAUGACGCCAAGGCUUCUCCAAAAAUAAAUUAACGCCACGGAAACAAGCCUACUAACUACUAUAUAUCGCUGUGUACAUUUCAACUACGACCAACAUGUUUUGACUAGAAUGUUUCAACUCAUUACAGUCUAUGAGAAAUCUGGAAUUUUUGCACUCGUGCGUGCACGCCAAGCGUGUAUGCAGGACCUUAUAUCUAUAUCAUAACAUAACAUAACAAGUAGCUUGGGCGCCUUACUCUACCACUUUGAGGCAAAAACUAGUAAACUCUUCAGAGAGCCAGCUAAGCCGCCUCUCAGGAAAUCUGAAUGUCCGAUCUCAUGGGAUUCCUGAGUUCCAUGUCGUUCUUUACUGCAGCUUUCCUCCUCUUGCCAGCCUUGUCUGCUUCAGAUGACCGGCUUGUCCCAGGCAAGCCGCUCUUGCUCGGCGCCACCGUCAUAUCCGAUGGUGGUGACUUCGCCUUGGGCUUCUUCUCCCCAUCCAAUUCCACUCCGGAGAAGCUCUACCUCGGCAUAUGGUACAACAACAUCCCCCAAUUCACUGUGGUGUGGGUUGCCAACCGGGAAACGCCGGCCAUCUCCUCCUCAGCUCCUUCCCUUGUUGUCACCAACAACACAUCUGAUCUUGUCUUGUCCGAUGCCAACGGCCGUGUUCUCUGGACAACCAACACCACCACUUCUGCAAACUCCUCACCUUUACCGAGGUCAUCGAAUAAUACCGGAUCGGUGGCGGUGCUUAUGAACACAGGCAAUCUCAUCCUACGGUCACCGGGUGGCAUGGUGUUGUGGCAGAGCUUUGACCACCCGACUGACAUGUUCCUUCCUGGCAUGAAGAUACGGAAGAGCCACAAGACGCAUGAAGGCAACCGCUUUGUUUCUUGGAACGGCCCCGACGACCCCUCGCCUGGUGCCUUCUCCUUUGUUCAGGAAACACUCCAAAGCUACAUCUUGAACGGUUCCCUCCCAGAAUGGCGCACCCCCGUGUGGACGGGAUUCACAGUCUCUAGCCACCACUGGGCAAACACCAGCAUUGUGGUAUACAUGGCAUAUGUAGACACCGACAAUGAGAUGUCCACGGUGCUCACAGUCUCCGAUGGUGCGCCGCCCAUUCAGUUAGUGAUGAGCUACUCUGGUCUGCUAGAAGGACGUGUUUGGAAUAGGGAUUCGUCAGAGUGGGCAGGGCUUGGAGUGUGGCCGGACGUCCAGUGUAGCAGGUACGGCUACUGCGGGCCCUCUGGUUACUGCGACUACACUACUGAUGCUACCCCGACUUGCAAGUGCCUUGAUGGGUUCGAGCCUGUGGACAAGGAAGAGUGGAACAAUGGCAGGUUCUCGCAGGGCUGCCAGCGAAAGGAGGUGUUUCGGUGCAGUGAUGGUUUCUUGGCGCUGCCGUAUAUGAAGGUGCCCGACAACUUUGUGCGCAUCGGGAGAAAGACCUUCCAGGAGUGCGCAGCUGAGUGCAGUGCCAAUUGCUCUUGUGUGGCCUACGCCUAUGCGACACUGAAUGGGAGCACAUCCAAUGGUGAUGCCACACGGUGCCUUGUGUGGAUUGGUGAUCAUCAGCUCGUCGACACGCAGAAGAUAGGCGUGCGUCCCUAUAAUACGAACACGGCUGGUGCUGAUAGUCAAGAGACGCUAUAUCUCCGAGUUGCAAGCAUGCCAGGUACCAUUCAUAUCAGAAGAACUUGUGUCGGAAGCAUAUCCAAGACGAACUUGUGGAAUGACCGUUAGAGUCUACCAUCACUUUAAUAUAUUAUCAUUUAUCCGUAUCAUCUUAGCACUGAGGUCUUGCUCCAAAUAUGCAGAUAUAGCAUAAUAACACCACUUUUAGUUCCCCAUGAAAAAUUAAGGGAGCGAGCUACAUACAUCUGUAGUCCGCCCGAACUCAGCUGUUCAUUUACCUGGUAUGUAAAGUAGGCAGCAAGAUCAUGGCAUGUAGUAGGAUAGUGGCAACUAAUUUGGAAUAUGCUCGCAUCCUAGAACCAUAAUCUGAUCACAAGAUAUGGCUGCAUGCAUGUUGGAGUCAAUAUAUGAGCAUCAAGAAUAGAUUCUGAACUCUGAGAUAUAUGUACAGUUUUUUUUCCAUUUCCUAGUGAUCUUAAUUUAUCGUAAGCUACAUCGAGUUAAGGAUUGAUCUUAAUUCCCAGCUAUCAUUAUUUUAGUGGAGAGGGUAAUAUUAUGUAUUGUAAAAAUCGUAGCACCGCUUAGUCUGUUUGAAACUGAACUCUGCAGUCAUGCGGUUCUUAACUUGGCGCUAUAUGAAUAAGUUUUGCACUUACUUGCAGGUAAAAGGACAAAAAAGAACACACUGAAAGUUCUACUACCAAUUUUAGCAGUUGUCAUUGUUCUCACUUCCAUUUUACUUGUAUGGGUCCGCAAGUUCAGAGGUAUGUUUUCUUCUAUAUAGUAUCACAGUUACUCAGGAACAAGUACUAACAACUUUUGGUCGCAGGAAGGAAAACAAAUACAGAAAAUCAAAUGAAGCUAAUGCAUGGAGGUUAUACUACUUCAGACGAACUUGGAAGAGAAAAAAAUACCAGUGAUUUUGAACUUCCAUUUCUGAAAUUCCAAGAUAUUCUUUUGGCGACAAACAAUUUCUCCAGUACAUUUAUGAUUGGACAAGGUGGUUUCGGCAAAGUUUAUAAGGUAAUUUAUAGUGGAACUUCCUUACUUUGUUUUUCCUGGAUUAUUGAUUAUCUAAUUAAGUAAUAUGCACAACAUAUCACAAUCAUGCUUCUCUAUGUGAUAAUUACAAAGGGGACAUUAGAAGGUGGUCAAGAGGUUGCAAUCAAAAGACUUAGUAGGGACUCAGACCAAGGAAAUCGGGAAUUCAGAAAUGAAGUUAUUCUAAUUGCCAAGCUACAACAUAGAAACCUGGUUCGACUUCUUGGUUGCUGCAUUGAGGGAGAUGAAAAGCUGUUGAUUUAUGAGUACCUGCCUAAUAAAAGCUUGGAUGCCAUCAUUUUCAGUAUGUUCUACUGAAUACAAGUUCAAUACUCUUAAAAAAACAAGUUAAAUGUGCGACUGAGUAAUUAUAUAAUUACAGUUUUUAAGAGACAUCCCAUGAUUGUUCAUUGUAGAUCGUGAAAGAAAUGCAACACUUGAUUGGCCAAUAAGGUUCGGGAUAAUCAAAGGAGUUGCUAGAGGACUUCUUUACCUCCAUCAUGAUUCAAGACUAACAAUAGUACACAGAGAUCUCAAAGCCAGUAAUAUUUUGCUAGAUGCAGAGAUGAGACCCAAGAUAGCAGACUUUGGUAUGGCAAGGAUCUUUGGUGACAACCAGCAAAAUGCAAAUACGAGAAGAGUUGUUGGGACAUAGUAAGUACUAUUCUUCGCAUAUUAAUAUAUGGUUGUACCAAAUUCAUCUUCAUAAUUUCUGCAUAUUUCAUACCAGUGGUUAUAUGGCUCCUGAGUAUGCAAUGGAGGGCAUUUUCUCUACGAAGUCUGAUGUCUAUAGCUUUGGAGUCUUACUGUUGGAGGUUGUAAGUGGCAUCAAGAUAAGCUCUUCUGAUCGCAUUCCGAGUUACCCAAACCUAAUAGUCUAUGUAAGUAAAUACUAUGAUUUAGCGGAGUGAAGGGUUUUAAUCUUCUUAUAUAAUCUCAGUGAGUGAUGUAAUUGUCUCAGGCGUGGAACCUUUGGAAGGAAGGGAAGGCAACAGAUUUGGUAGACAAAUGUAUUGCGGAGAACUGCGUACUAGAUGAAGCUUCACUUUGCAUCCAUAUAGGUCUUCUGUGCGUACAGGAAAAUCCUGACGAUAGGCCAUUCAUGUCUUCUGUUGUGCUCAACUUGGAGAAUGGAAGUACAACACUACCAGCGCCAAAUCACCCUGCAUAUUUUGUACAGAGAAAUAGUGAUAUGGAGAAAAAGAGAGAAGAUAUUAUGAACUCCAAGAACACGGUGACUCUUACAAUCAUAGAGGGGAGAUAGAGUAGCUCUUCAUUUUUAUUCUACAACAUCUGUCUAGAUCAAUGCUGUGAAAUAAUUUCUUUUAGCAGCAAUCUGGAAGUUCUAUUAAUACAAGUGUGCUGCUAUCUUUCCCUACUAGCAGCCCUGCUGGGAUAGUCUUCAACAGAUAUAUCAAGCUCAACGCAAAGCAUUCCAUUGAGAUUAUACAGAAAGCAUAAAGUCUCUAAAACAGAAGCUCUACAAAGUAUGGGGGCAGCAAGGCAAGGGAUACUGAUUGUUGCGACCAUCCAGGAAGCCACGGUAUUGGGCGCGGCCGCGCGGGCAUGCACCAUCGUAUGUUGAAGCCUUGAAGGAGACGGAUAGACGGUGACUGCCGGUGGAUACGCGUCCAUUUCGUUGCGCGGUUGCGGUUUCAUUUGGUGGGUCGGCAGUGGCCAUUUGUGCUGGGCCGGGCAGGCUUUGAUGGUCCAAGCUUUUGUAAGGUUAGGCUGGACCCUGCUGGUGGGUUGGAGACAAAUGUGCUUUGGCACGCUGUGGCCUACCUUUUAGGCCGGGGAGUUUUCUUUUCCCUCCUAAUGUCGUGCCGAACUCAAGCCCAGAUUUGGAGCCCAGACUCUUCGAUCACGGACAACGCGCGCUGGGUUGACGUUUUCAGUUUUUGUCGGAGCGCGUCCAGUGGUAGCACCUUGAACAACCCAAUAGCCCACUUUUCUAGCCGGGCUCUACGGUAGCAUCCUGAACGAAAGCCCAAAUCCAUCGCCAAACUUCUCCAACCGGCCCCCAAUGUCAAGUACGUAAUCAUCAUGUUGUCAUAAGUUACUAUGUAUAGUAUUUUCCGGUUCUAUAAUAUACUUGUCGCCUUGCGUUGGGAUCAGCUCAUGCCUCCUCGCCUGGAAUGGACUCGCGCGCUCGGAGUCAACAAGAAUUCCCAUUUCCCAACUUCUUCCGUCGAUCCCCAACGACUAGGUCGCCGCAGCCUAACUAAUCCCGCAUAGAGACGAGGUCAAUGCUGUGAGAUAAUUGCUUCUAGCAGUAAUCUGGAAGUACUAUUAAUACAAGUGUGCUGCUGCUAUCUUCCCUACUAGAAGCCCUGCUGGAUUAGUCUUAAACAGAUGUAUCAAACUCAACUUGAAGCAUUUCAUUGAGGUGAUACAGAAAGCUCUAAAACAGAACAGGACCUCUGCCUAGUAUGGGGGCAGCAGGGCAGGAGAUACCGAUUGCUGCUUGCCAUUGAGCUGAGGUCGUCAUCGAUCACCUGCAGAAGCAACUGCGUAACCUGCUAUCGCUUGCCCGCACGCAGGGACAAGCAAUUGCAACCAAUUGGAUGCAGAGCGCGGGAAUGGGCACACAGGUUGAUCUCCGCCGCUCACAAUCUCCUCUCCUCUGCAUUGGCGUCCGGCGGGCGACGGCCUCAGGCUGAUCGGGCAUACGAGGACGCGCGCCGCGAGGAAUUGAAGCGACUGCUCCCAAAUCUUCUGAGCUGGAAGGCAAGCGUACGCCGGCCCAACCCAAAGCAACUGGUUUCUAAUCCGCUUGGCCGCGUGCAAACUUUUGGACCCUGUAGAAGAUUCAGCCCCCACAGGAAAAGAAAAGAAAGCCCAUGAAGCCCAUCCGCCCCGAAAAGUAAAAGAGAAGAAAAGCUUAUGGGCCCAGAAAUUCCGUGGGGUGCAAGUUAGCCCAACAUCUAAAGGACCCCACGUGCCAGUGACACAUUGGAAGACACCCCACCUGUCUAAUCCGACUCCACCUCGCCGGCCUGCCCAAUCCUUUUCACCUCCAAACCGAAAAAACCCACAGAACCCUAGCCUCCCAACCAUCCUCCUGCUCGCUCCCGCCGUCCUCGUAGUCCAUCCACUCUACUGGCGGCGGCGCGGCGGCGAGAGGAGAGCCAACCCGCCCGGCUUGAUCUGAAGCAUGGAGAAGGUAAGCAAAGGAGUGCGGAUCGAGCAACCCGUCCUCCCCCCUCAUGGUCGUGGGGAUCACCUCUCUGUUUGUGGGACUGAUUUGGGUGAGCUUUUGUGCAGCCGCCCGGGGCGCAGGGGGCGGGGAAGGUUGCGGAGGAGAAGGUACGUGUACUCAUUUACCUAACUCUGUCUCGCGUUCGCAGGGGGCUUGGGAAGUGUGAGAUUAUAAAUUGAACCGCACUUUGGCAGCAAGGUCUGCACCCCCCCCCCCCCCAACAACAUCCCCAUGACUGCUUUGCCUAGACCGUGUUUAGCCCGAAAUUGUAACAUAUAUAGUCUCUGAAUCAACUGUUUGUCUUCUGAGAUGUCUGAGUCAGCAGUUUGUAUUGAGUGGUUGGGUAAUGCAUACUAGUAUGUGUUAGCGGCUCCUCAAUAAAUGCAUGGACAGUAUGAAGUGACAAUUUGUGUACUUUGGUAGUAUAAUGCUCCCCACUCACACAACCACGCACGAAAAAUGGCCGCGGGGGGAGGGGGGUACUUGGCACCUUUGUGCAGUCAGAACUGCAUUUUUUUUGGUGUUUUAGUUAGCAACCCUUUCUGUUCAAUAUUCAAUCCUUUUUAAUUUGUGCAGCAACUUGAUGAGAAAGAGUUAGAAAGGAAGCUGAAAAAAGACCAAAAGGUAUCAGCCAAGUUCUUUUCUUGCUUUGAUUUCGAUAUUGUAUACUCAUUUCCCUGCUGUAUUCUUUUGCGUUGGCCCAAAUGGUUAACUGAUAAUUGGAAAUGGUCAUUACAUCAAACUUAACAGUGAUUUCACUGAAGUUGGAAAUGAGCUGAGUUAUGAGAUCGGACUUUUAUUUUGUUAUGGUGUGUGUAAAUAGUCAUUUAUGGGUGAAAUUUUCACUUGCAGGCAAAAGAGAAAGAAGAGAAAAAACUUAAGGCAAAACAAAAGGAGGCAGCUAGGCUCCAGGUUCAAUUAUAAUGCUCUUGAAUUUGUAUAUGACUGAACAGAUGAUCCAGAUAUCUAGUAAGUGAAAUGCUUGUUGGAUAUGACUUAGGCACAAGCAACCUCAGAUGGAACAAAGAAGACUGAGAAAAAACAGAGGAAGAAAGCUGUGGAGGAUGAAAAUCCAGAGGAUUUCAUUGAUCCAGACACUCCUAAUGGACGGAAGAAAUUGCUUGCGCCUCAGAUGGCCAAGCAAUACAGUCCAAAUGCAGUUGAGAAAUCGUAUGAUCUUUUUUGCAUUUGUUGAUUUUAUAAUUCCUAGCACUGUUAAUGUCUAGCUCAACUGCAUGGUUUUUUCUUUUUAUGCAGAUGGUAUGCCUGGUGGGAAUCAUCAGGAUAUUUUGGCGCAGAUUCUGCAAGCACAAAACCACCAUUUGUUAUAGUAAGUGAUUCAUGCUCUUGAAGGUUGUGCAAGAUAAGCUAGAAGCUGAUUUAGAAUACUGCAUCUUUUUACAUAACUGUAGUGCUUUUAUAUUGUCAAAUAGUGGGUAAGCUUCCAACAAAGAGUUGUUAUUUCUUUUCAGGUUUUGCCACCGCCAAAUGUGACUGGAGCUCUUCACAUAGGCCACGCGCUUACAGUGGCUAUAGAGGUAUUCUUUUUUUUUUACAGAUAUGCCAUGUUAGCACUAUAGACAUUGACUAUACAAUGAUUUUAUUCUCGUUACAUUAACCAACGCAGGAUGCUAUGAUACGCUGGCGUAGGAUGUCAGGCUACAAUGCUCUAUGGGUUCCUGGAGUGGACCAUGCUGGCAUUGCCACACAGGUCUGCAUUUAAGAAUUCAUUAAUCUCGCGGAAUUUAUAUGAUGAAAUAUAAACUUUGGAUAAUGUGAUUUUGUUGCUGAUAUGUUCUUUUUGGCUGGAUAUAUUGUUAAUCAAGUUGUGAAAUAAACAUAUGUGGACACCCAUGCUGGCAGCGCUAGUAACAAUGUGUAGCCAUUAAAAGAAAUCUGUCAACAUGGGUGUUGGGACAUGUUAAUAGAACAUACUUCUGCAAUUUAGUGAUUUUUUUAAAAUCAUGUUUUGAAUUUCAUUUCCUACUUUUGGAUGUUUACUGUUUAGCACUUGUUCAUUCAUUUGUGCAUAGCCAGAAUCCCUUAUAUUUCAGGAUGGAGGUAGCUUUUUUGUUGCCUCUAUUCCCUUAUAAGCAAAUCAAUAUUGUAUAAUUUUGGCCAAAUGUGUGUUUUGUGUCUGCUCAUUUCAACUUAUAUUAUUUCUAUGAUUUAACUUACCAUUUGUAGUUCGGAUUUCUUGUUUGGACUAAUUGGUGGACAUUUGAGUACUUCAAUGUUUUGUACUUACUUCUUUUUGACAUCUGCUCUCAUGUUUAUCAGGUUGUCGUAGAAAAGAAGCUUAUGCGCGAAAGGAAGCUGACAAGGCAUGACAUAGGGCGUGAAAAUUUUGUUUCUGAAGUAAGCACUUUUUUCCAUGACAUAUUAUUUUUCUCGGCCAAUUCUUUAUUUGUUUCCAUUAUAUUACUUGGUGUCUAUGUUCUGAAAUGAAAAAGUUGUCUGUUUUGUUUGAAUGCUUAAUCCUGUAUCUGAUGUAUCAUUUUUCUGUUCAAUUCAUUCCUUCCAUUUUAUCAUCUGACAAACAGGUACUCAAAUGGAAAGAUCAAUAUGGUGGUACCAUAUUGAAUCAAUUGCGCCGGCUUGGGGCCUCACUUGAUUGGUCCCGUGAGGUAACAUACCUAUUUAUUUUAGUUGGGAAAAGGCAUGACUCGUGCUUGAACCAUGCAUAGUAACUUCAUUUUAAACUGGAUACCAGGCUUUUACAAUGGAUGAGCAAAGAUCUAAAGCUGUAACUGAAGCUUUUGUCAGGUUACACAAAGAAGGCCUGAUAUAUAGGUUAGUUUCUCCACAUUUUCUGUUCAAGUGUUAAAUUGAAAAUUUUAUAUAGGUUAGUUUCUCCACACUUUCUGUUCAGGUGUUAAAUUGAAAAUUUUCCCACUGUCAAUUUUGCUUGAUUGUUGAUCUACGCUUCUAUUUUUUAGUUGCCAACCUAGUUCUUUCACAUUUUAUGAAUGGUCUAUUCCUUUUCAGAGAUUAUCGCCUCGUGAACUGGGAUUGCACACUUCGAACUGCAAUUUCGGACAUCGAGGUUGAUGGAACUUUUAUAUUGUUUAUGAUAUGAUAGACAUUGUUAUCAUUUGUAUGCAUGAUUAAGAUAAUUAAGAUGGAAAAUGCUGUUUUGACAGGUUGAUCAUAUUGAUCUUAAAGAAGAAACUAUGUUAAAGGUCCCUGGUUAUGCCAAUGAGGUGCAGUUUGGUGUAUUGAUAUCUUUUGCCUAUCCUCUUGAAGAAGGCCUGGGUGAGAUCGUUGUAGCAACCACCAGAAUUGAAACGAUGCUGGGCGAUACAGCAAUAGCUGUUCACCCCGAGGAUAAAAGGUAUAAGCAUCUGCACGGAAGGUAUGCAGUCCAUCCCUUCAAUGGGCGGAAACUCAAAAUAAUCUGUGAUGCUGAGUUAGUUGAUCCCACUUUUGGUACUGGGGCUGUAAAGGUAAGAGUUGCUGCUGAGGGCUAUUUUUCAUAAUCUUACUUUACCUACUUGGACCUUCCCCAUAUUCUUAGAAUUGUAUUGUUUUCUGGUUUUUAUGCAGAUUACACCUGCCCAUGAUCCAAAUGACUUUGAGGUUGGAAAACGGCAUAACCUUGACUUCAUCAAUAUAUUCACCGAUGAUGGAAAAAUAAACAGCAAUGGAGGUGCACAAUUUGAAGGAAUGCCCAGAUUCACAGCUAGAGUUGCCGUUAUUGAGGCGCUGAAGGAAAAGGUAUUACUGGAUUUGCUUAACUAUCCACUAAAAAAAAUUCCCUGAAAUUGUAUGAAUAUAUGGAUUAUAAUGUGUGACAUGGCAUGCAUGAUUUAACAGAGUGAAAAUGCAAAUAGUUAUCAUGGUCUUUGUAUCAUAAACAUGCUAUAUAUAUUCUAGCAUGACUUUCAGUUCAGCAUUUGUGCUGGAAACAGCUUAUCAGUGUCAGGUUGGGUUCGGCUAUCCAUAAAUAUAUAUUUUUUAAUCUCAUGUCUUACAGAUAUCCUUCGUGCUGUGGAAAUUAUUGAUAGCUUAAUCAUUUUUAUAAAAAAUUAAGUCUUUGCCUUCUUGUUUUAUAUGAUGGAUUAACAUUUUUUUAUUCUUCUAAUUAAGGGGCUCUAUAAAGACACAAAGAAGAAUGAAAUGAGCUUGGGCGUUUGUUCAAGAACUAAUGAUGUAGUGGAGCCUAUGUUAAAGCCACAGUGGUUUGUUAAUUGCAACUCCAUGGCCAAAGCGGGCCUUGAUGCUGUAAGGUCCAAAAAGAUUGAGAUUAUUCCCCAGCAGUAUGAACAAGACUGGUACAGGUAUAUCUUAUGAUGUGUCAUCUCUUGCAAUUAUCAUGUCAAAUGAAUCAGAUAAACCUGAAAUAAAAUUAUCCAUUAAUUACUGCUGUCCUUGCAGAUGGCUUGAAAAUAUACGUGAUUGGUGUGUGUCGAGGCAACUAUGGUGGGGACAUCGUGUACCUGCAUGGUAUGUGACACUAGAAGAUGACCAGGAUAAAAACCUUGGUUCUGACAAUAACCGCUGGAUAGUUGCAAGAAAUGAAAGCGACGCAAACCUGGAGGCGCAGAAAAAGUAUCCAGGAAAGAAAUUAUGGCUAGAUCAAGACCCUGAUGUGCUGGACACAUGGUUUUCAUCUGGUCUUUUCCCCUUAACAGUACUUGGUUGGCCGUCCGAUACCGCUGACCUCCGUGCUUUCUACCCUACUUCGGUGCUAGAAACUGGACUUGAUAUUCUCUUCUUUUGGGUAGCAAGGAUGGUGAUGAUGGGACUGCAACUGGGUGGUGAUGUGCCAUUUGAGAAGGUAUAGCACAAGUUCUGGUUCACCGCCAUUUAAACUGUAUCAUAUGAUUGUAGCAGUCUAGUCUAAUACAUUUUGUUCACGUUAGAUACUCUAUUCAAAACCUAUCUCUGCCUACUUUGUCCCCUUCAUGUGGCUUAAUUCUGUAACGCUGUAAUCUGACCAAAAAGAGACCCCCAUGCUAGUGCAAUCUACCUGUAAUAUUGUGGAUGUUUAAUCAAGUUACUGUAAAUUUGUUAACUGAAAUGAGGAACCUGCCCAUUUUAAAUUUUUCUCUGCUUAUGUUCUCCUCCCUUAAUCUCUACAGCCCGCACUGAUUUCCUUCUGAAUGAACUCUGCACCUUUUUAAUAUUUACCAUAUAUUGCUUACAUAUUUGGUGACAUCAUCCUUUAUUUCCGUUAUAGUAAAGGCAUGAAGUUACCAUCUUUCCUUUUGCUUGUGGCUCCAAAUUAUAUCCUUUUAUUUCUGAACUCAAUUAACAAGCCAACCAUAGGAGCUACAAAAUUUCGACACUUCAUAUGGUAGUGAAGUAUAUUUAUCUCAUGUCCAAUGAUCAAUGACCACACACCCUCUUCUUAGGUUUAUUUACAUCCUAUGAUCCGUGAUGCACAUGGGAGAAAGAUGUCAAAAUCACUUGGUAACGUUGUUGAUCCUCUUGAGGUGAUAAAUGGCAUGUCACUGGAAGGUCUUCUGAAACGUUUGGAAGAAGGCAAUCUGGAUCCAAAUGAAUUAAGCAUUGCGAUAGAAGGGAAGAAGAAAGAUUUUCCUGAUGGCAUAGCUGAAUGUGGUACCGAUGCCCUCCGCUUUGCACUGAUUGCUUACACAUCCCAGGUUGUUAUGGUGCCCAGUUGAGUUUUUUCUUUAUUAUACAUGCAUUUAAGCUUUUUUUACAAUCUGUUUUGUUUCUCAGUCUGACAGGAUAAAUCUUGAUAUCAAGAGAGUGGUUGGAUACAGACAGUGGUGCAACAAAUUAUGGAAUGCCAUCCGUUUUGCGAUGGGCAAACUGGGUGAUCAUUACACUCCACCUGCAACUGUAGAUGUUUCUUGCAUGCCACCAAUAUGCAAGUGGAUACUCUCAGUGCUUAACAAGGCCAUUGGCAAAACUGUUACCUCUUUAGAAGCAUACAAAUUCUCUGAUGCAACAUCUACUAUAUACUCGUGGUGGCAGUACCAGUUAUGUGAUGUAUUUAUUGAAGCUAUCAAACCUUAUUUCUUCAGUGAUUCUCAAGAGUUUGAAUCAGCAAGAGCUGCCUCCAGAGAUACCCUGUGGAUCUGCCUGGAGACUGGUCUGCGCCUGCUCCACCCAUUCAUGCCUUAUGUAACAGAAGAGCUGUGGCAGCGUCUUCCACAGCCCAAAGAUUCUUGUAGGAAAGAUUCAAUUAUGAUUUCGGAAUAUCCAUCUCUUGUUGAGGUAAUACCCGUGUCGUAAAGAAGAUUCUUGUAGGAAAAAUUCAAUUGGUGAUUUGAGAACUUAACACAUGGAAACUAUUGUUCUUUAUGACAGGAAUGGACUAAUGAUAGACUUGAAAAUGAAAUGGACAUUGUCUUGGACGCCGUGAACAGAAUAAGAUCGUUGAAGCCACCAACAGAUUCAAAUGAAAGGUAUGUACAUGGUCAUCUGUUUUGUUUUUGUGUUUGGUAUUUGCUUGUUUGGUUCUUCUUCAACCUGCUUUUGCAAAAUGGAGUAAUAUCUUGUUGAUAUUUUCGUCUUUCUUUACAGACGACCUGCUUUUGCACUUUGCCGAGGCCAAGAGAUUGCUGCCACUAUCCAAUGCUAUCAAUCUCUAAUCUUGUCUCUUUCCUCCAUAUCACAUCUCAAGGUUAUGCCUUACAUUUCUGUACGACACUGUUAUUUUUCAUUAGGGAAAAAUAUAUGCCUUGCAUCACCUACAAUCAAUAAUCCUGAAACCUAAAUGUACUUUUAUUGCUUGAAAUUGCUGUUGUUACCCGCUGAUUCUUGCCAAAUAACUGUUCUUCUUGGCUUUCUUCAUCUUUUCAUAUUUAUAUGCUACAUACUUGAGAAAAAAUUGAAUUCCACCUGAAUUAAAAGCUCCUGAACAAGAGCACUGAUUUUUUAUUUGGAAUUCUUCAGAUCCUGACAGAGAACGAUGAAACUCCAGCCGACUGUGCCACUGCUGUUGUAAAUAAAGACUUAUCUGUGUACCUUCAGCUCCAAGGAGCUCUAAAUGCAGAUGCUGAACGUGAAAAGCUAAGGAAGAAAAAGGAUGAAAUUCAAAAGUACGUGCGCUCAUCCUGUCUUCACGGUCCACUUUUUUACAGUUAAGACCUGCGCAUGUAUCGGUAUUCAUUAACAUGGUUGGUCUCUUGACAUACACGCAGGCUACAACAUGCCUUGGCACAGAAAAUGGACGCCUCUGGUUACCGUGAGAAGGCUCCACAGAAUGUGCAGGAAGAGGACAUGAGAAAGCUCACCGCAUUAUUGGAACAACUAGAGGUCAUCAGUGAAGCUGAGAAGAAAUUAGAUGCAAAAAUUGGAAAUAACUGAGUCUGAUGCCUCUGUUUUAAAGAUGCUCUGCUUAUACCAAAGUUGAUCCCACAUUUUUUUUACCGGAAAGUCAGUUAUGCACCUGUAUACUCAGGUUUAGAAUCGAUGGUUUUGGUCGAAAUUAAAGUCACAUUUUCCAGCUUGUAAGAAUAUACUGACGGUCUGUACAGAACCAUAUUUUUGGAUGUUCGAUACUGCCAAGCUUUUGAUGUUGAUGCAUGUGGGCACUAUGUCAGAAUAUGCUGUAGCUGUAUUAAUUAUUAUUGAUGUUUCCUGUCAGCAAGCUUCGAGGUGUACUCCUUCUGUUCUAAAACCUAAUAUUCACAAUAUCAAAUUAUCAUAAUUAGAUUCUAUUAUGAAAUAUAUUUUCAUAGUAGAUGUUAAUUCUCUCUUUUUUAAAUAAAUUUGGUUAAAUUUUCAUGACGCCUUAUAUUCUAGGACGGAAUGAGUAUGCAACAAUGCGUCACUUUUGUAGCUAUUCUUUUGCGGCCAAACUUGUGAAUCAAGAAAAUACUGCACGCUUUUCGUUCAGAAGUGUGUGUUUGAAUAAGUUGGGCUUCUGUGUUGCCACGGGAAAUGAGCAAACGUAGCGGCUGCACCCACAAAGCACGCCGUGCACCAACCCCUGAUUGCGCCAUGCGGGGAGUGCGCAGAACCACACGAUGCCAAGGGCGCGGCGCCGCGGAUCGUGCUCGGGGCGCGUCGCGUGCCCCACUGCGCGCCACCAGCGGCGGCGGCGGCGCUGGGGCUCAUGUCGCGGUCCGCGCCGCGCGUGUCGUUCCUCCCUCGCCGGCCCCAGCCGGACAUGGACAUCAUCCCGAUGAAGUUCAUGUCCAUCCGGCUGCACCGGCGUCGUCCUCACGCUGGACGGCCUUACGGCCACGGACGCAGCCAUUCGCGCGCACUUCACCUAAGCCAAGCCCAGCGCGCGAGGGUGCAAGCCAGCCGCGCCGCGAGGGAGAGCCUGCUUCGAAACUUUCAAGCGCCCGUGCGCUCGCCGCGCUGGGCACCACAUGGACGUUUCUAGCCGAUCAUGCUAUGGGCGCACGCCCCCGCGGCGUGGGGAUUGCACGAAAUUGGCAUCCCCCGUGGCGGGCGCUCGGUUCGCCGGCAGACCGGCAGAGCCACGGACUGGAGGGAAGAACACUCGUGAGAACAAUGCACCACUCUCUGUGUGAAGGGACGCUAGCUACGGGCUGCAGCUGCCGCCGCCGCUGUACUGGAGGCUGCCCCCUGGUUAACGUCGCGGCAGCAGAGGGCCGCUCCCUCAGCGCCACGCCACGGCGCCAAGCUCGACUCGCCUGCUCCGGGCUCCCUCGGCGCGAUCUGCGCGCCGGCGCGCGCUCCACGGACGACGCAUUCUCCAUCUCCACCUCCCACCGACCGGCGACGCGCAAAUCGUCCCCGCGCCGCCGCCGUCCCUGGCGGCGGGCAAGAACGAAGGCGCGACACGGACGCCGAUGUGGGCGCACAAAGGUACGUGGCCGACUGAGUGCUAGGUACGAGAAUACGGGCAGGGAGCAGGACGGGAACAGCGUUGCGCGGCUAAUCGCCGGCUCCGCGGCUGGCAGGUCGUGCUCCGGGCGCGCUAGCCCAGCGGCCCGCGGCGAGGAGUGGCGCGCGGAGGUGGACGGGGUGGUCGUGAUUUCAUUUACCGUCCACCCCACACGGGAAUUUCUCUUUUCUCUUUCUCGAUCUGUAGAUCGUAUCUGAACUUGAAAUUUUGCGUGACACCUUGUCACCGCGUUCCUCGUCUCCAUGAAUUUUCGUAGGAUAUUUGCGCACCGGUGCCGCCGUCAAAUGGGGAUUUCCCGGUGGACGGGGGUGGUCGUUAUUUCAUUUACUGACCACCCCUGCGGAAACUUCUCUUUUCUGCUUCUUCCUGUAUGCAUGACAUCUGAGUCUGAAAUUUUGUAUGGUUAUUGGGGACAAUAGGCCCCAUCUCUGUGAAUUUUUAUGGGAUUUUUUAGCUCUUGUGCCGCCGGGAAAAUAGGAUCUCUCAUGUGGCCGGCCUGUUCACCGGUCCUGCAGGGCACCCGAUGAGCAGCGGCCGUGGACUGCAGACACGGACGUGUUCAGGACUUCAGGCCAUGGAUUACACGUGAGAUCCGAGACCGCGGCGAAGGAGCUAGGCGCUGCGGGCUACGGCUGCACUUGGUGGAGGAUCUUCAGUCCUUGUCCGUCGCAGUGCUCCCGCUCGGCUCGUCAACGAUAGGGCCCUAUAGGCCUUCGGCCGGUUGUACUGGCUACAGGGAGCGUCCGGUCGUCGGUGAGGAGCUAGGCAUGGAGGUCUGGGAGGAGAAGGCGCCGGGUGUUGACGCCACGGAAGAGGGAGGGGAGCGCGCCGUACGCGGACGGUGAAGUCGCGACGCCGCGCUCGUCGAGCCUGUACAGCGCGGCUUCGGGAAGGCGAAGUGAGUGCUCUUGCCGGCGGGACAUGGAGGCGUGAAUCCUGGAUCGUCGGGAGCACCAAGUCAGACUCGCGGUCACCGGAGCCGGGGAUGGCAUGGCCAUGGCGAAGUCGUGCCGGCCGGCGAUGGGUCAGACCUCCUCACCUCCUUCAACGAGUCCGGUGAAUUCCUCGAUCUGCACCGUAGACUGUCCAUCCAACGGCGGCAGGUAUCGGUGAGAUGGACUCUGGUCAACAGAUUUAACGCUCUUUGCAAAAAACGCCCUGAAAUGGAUCGCGGUCAAUAAUCGCGAUCCAAUUUUUUUCGUUUAACCUACUAAAAUGGAUUCAAUUUUUUCAUAAACCCCCUGAAAUGGAUCGCGAUCAAUAGUCGUUAUCCAAUAUUUUUCACUUAACCCCCUAAAAUGGAUUCAAUGUUUUGCAGAAACCCCCAGCUCUGUUCGUCUACCUCGCAUCAUGAGUUCAAGACGGACCUCAAUGGGGGAUGGAGGCGGCCAGCGGCGACGCUUUCGCCCACGACGGUGCCCGCGUACGGCACCCUGAAUCGUGGUUUCCCCAUCCACACCCGCUCCUGGUGGUCUCCGCCUCCCCAUACUUCCGUACUGGCACCGCGCCCGCGCGCGCACGCCACAAACUGAACCUAGCGAAUGUGCCGUCCUUCCGCGCCGCCGGCGAGGAUGUGGACGUGCUGGAUAGGGUGCAACUGGCGCGGGUGCGGGGACCAACAGAUGCGAAUAGAUUCUGAUGAAGGCACAGCCACCACACGUCUCCGUCGUAAUGUACAGCUGAAAAAGGUUAGCAUUGCUCUAUUGUCUUGUCUGUCUACCGUCCCUGAAGAACAGUCAUGGUGAUGGAGUUCCUGGAGCUCUGAACAUCAUCUCCUUUUACCUUACAGUUCCUCUCUGCGAAAUACGCCGGCUGAUCCGGCGCCGGCAGAGACACGCUCCCGUUCUCCAGGAUGGACACGACAGACGACAUGAGCGGCCGGCCGUUCGGGUCGUCCUGAACGCAGAGGAGCCCGACGUGGAUGCUGAGCAAGACUUCAUCCAACGCGCAGCUCUCCACGAUGGAUGAGUCUACCAGGUCACUUGCAUUCCCUUCCUUCCACAGCUUCCAUGCCUGCAAAAAAAUCAAACCAAAUCAUAUUUUCUCAAAAACUGAUAAAUCAUUGCCUGCACGGACUGCACUCCAAGUGGUCUUAUACUAUGUACUUACAUAGGCUACAAGGCCUGGAGACCCCAUUAUGUCAUCGGUAGAGCUUAUCCUGACGCCGCUAACAAUCUCCAGGACCAAUAUGCCAAAGCUGUAGACGUCAGACUUGACAGAGAAGACGCCCUCAAUUCGAUAUUCAGGAGCUAUGUAGCCACUAUUAACACCAUCAGAAAUUCAGACUUCAGAGUCGUCAGGCACAAACCAUGUCUAAUCAUAUGCAAAAUUCAGUGUUGAAAGACAAAAUCGAAGUAUUACUCACUAUGUUCCGACAACUCUCUUAGUGUUUGCCUUCUGCUGGUUUUCGCCAAAUAUCUUGGCCAUACCGAAAUCUGCUAUUUUGGGUCUCAUCUCUGCAUCCAACAAGACAUUACUCGCUUUGAGGUCCCUGUGUAUCACUGUCAGUCUUGAAUCUUGAUGGAGAUACAGAAGACCUCUAGCCACGCCCUUGAUGAUCCCAAAUCUUGUCGGCCAAUCCAGCAGAGAUUUCCUUUCGUUGUCUGCAUUGAACAACAAUACCAUACGGGGAUAAUGAUUACUUUUUAGAGUUAGGAUCAUGUUACUUCAAUGUGACAUUUUAGCAGAUUCAGUUAUGAACUUAUGAUGAAUGGAACAUACCGAAAAGGAUAGCAUCUAGGCCUUUAUUGGCCAAGUACUCAUAUAUCAGCAACCUCUCAGCUCCCUCGGUGCAGCAACCGAGAAGCCGAACUAAGUUCCGGUGCUGCAGUUUGGAAAUCAAAAUAGCUUCAUUCUUGAAUUCCUCUAUCCCUUGUUCAGAAUCCUUGCUGAGCCUCUUGACAGCGACUUCGCGACCACCUAAUAAUGUCCCCUUCAGAAUUAUAGAACAAUAACUGAGUGUUGACUCUUGAGUACUAUAAUCCAAUUCAUGGGUUCAGAUGGAAAAAGGAUAUUGCUGCAGAACAUGAUAGUACCUUGUAAACUUUUCCAAAACCUCCACGCCCGAUCAUACAUGCUCUCGAGAAGUUAUUAGUUGCCACAGCAAUAUCACUGAACUGUAUGGAAGGGAAUUCAAGAUCUUCAGUAGGGUUUCCUUCUCCAAGUUCACUUGAUGUGCGCACACUGCCAGGCACCAGCUUCUUCUCACUUUCACUGCUUAUUCUCUUACCUGCAAAAUUGAUGUUAAACAGCAUCUAUUUUGUGAUAACAUGUACUUCCUCUGUUUCACAAUUGUUGUUGUUUUAACUUCUACUAUUCUCAAAAUACUUGCUGUUCUACAACUCCAUUGUCAACUUUGACCCAUGUUUUCCAAUCCUACCCGUACUUACUAAAUGCGCAUUUCAGAGUUUGUACUUUCGAAAACAUAAAUGCACAAUUGAGAAGAUUAAUUAAUGAUAGGAUGGUCCUUUAAUUAUUGUGUCUAAGGCUCAAACAACAGUAUUGUGAAACGGAGAAAGUAUACAGAUAAACUACAAAAGGAAUAUAAGUGUACCUUUGGCUCUGCACUUACAAAACCACAAAAGGACAAUGCAUGUGACAAUCAAAACACUUGCCAACACUGGAAGUAAAAUUUUCACAGUUUUUGUCCCUGUCCUUUUGCCUGCACAAAUACAGGCGAAUGCCAUGAGCAAUUGCAAGUAGAUGCUUUUGCUGCCGGUUUAAAAUGGAGACAGUGAUACGAGCUCACCGUACAUAUAUGUGAGUACAGUGUGCCCAUGUCAAUGCCAGCCUUAUAAUCGGAAAAAGAAAAAAAAUAGAAAAUAAAAUCAAACCUGUGAAUCCGGCAGGAACCCGGAGGUUAAGCGUCUCGGCGGUCACGCCCCAGAUCGCGCCGAUCAUCUGCGCGUCGACCAGCUCCCCUGUCCACACCAGGCACCGCGCAAUGUCACCCUUGGCGCUGCUGCUGCGCAGGCUCGCGUACGCGUACGCCACGCAGGAGCAGUUCCGGCGGCACGCCGCGGCGCAGUCGUCGACGGAGAUCAUGUUCCCGAGGAGCACGAACUUGUCCGGCACCUUCAUGUUGGACAUCGCCAAGAACGCAUCCCCCUCGCCGCUGCCGUCGCGGCACGGCGCCAGCGCCUGACUUCGGCGGCAGCCCCGCGAGAACACGCCGCGGCUCCACUCCCCUUGGCUCGCCGGCUCGAAGCCAUCGAGGCACUUGCACGUCGCCACGGCCUGCGAGUGGUCGCAGUAGCCGUAGGCGCCGCAGCUGCCGUAGGGGCUACACGCGCGGGACGGCCAGGACUCGAGCGUCGCCCACGCCGACGCGUUGCGGUUCCAGCUCAGAAGCUGGAACUUGCCGGCGUCGGUCACCACGUACCGCGUGGGCGGGGCGCCGUCGGCGACGGAGAAGCUCGAGUAGAUCUCCUCCUCGCUGUCGACGACCGUGACGUAGAUGACCGUGCCGGUGGCACCGUGGUACUUGCCGGCGGUCAUGUACCCCGUCCAGACCGAAGUGCGCCAGUAGAUACGCGUCCCGUUCCACAGCAGCAGCUGGAGGGACGUGUUCGGGUCCAUGCCGUAGGAGAAGCUCCCCGGCGAGGGGUCGCCGGGACCCUUCCACGAGACGAUGCGCCAGCCGUCGACCCCGUCGUGCGGGCGGUAGCGCCGCCCGACCUUCAUGCCCGGGAUGAACGUGUCCGUCGGGUGGUCGAAGCUCCGCCACAACGUCGCACCGUCCGGCGAUAGGAUGACGAGGUUACCGUCGUUCCGAAGCACCGCCGCCGUCGAACCAGGAGUACCUGAGCUGGUGGCGCCAGUGAUGUUCGUCGUCCAUACGACGCGGCCGCUGGCGUCGGACAAGAUGAGGUUGGAGCCGCCGUUGGCCAGCGCAAGCGACGGCGCGGAGGAGGAGUUGCCGGAACGCCCGUCGACGAUGACCGGCGCGUCCCGGUUGGCGACCCACACCACGGUUUGCACGGUCACGGUGGUGUUGCUGUACCAUAUGCCGAGGUACUGCCUGGCCGGCGUGGCGUCGGAGGGGGCGAAGAAGCCCAGCACGAAGGCGCCGCCGUCGGACACGAUGGUGUCACCGGGCAGCAGCGACUCCCCGUGGGUCAGCUUGUCGCCGGCCGGCGAGCACAGGCGCGGCAGGAGGAGGAGGACGGCGGCCGUGAUGCAGGUGCAGCGCGACCACUCCAUGGUCGUUGCACGUCAUUCAGUAUGGCACCAAAGAAAUAGGUCGGUAUAGUUUAUCGAAGCUGCAGACAUCCUCCUUCUCGCCUCUCCAGUACGGUUGCACAAAUGAUACACUACUCCCGUGCCAAGACUUGGCCUGGAAGCUGAUGGUGAUAGAAAAUUCUGGGUUCUCACUUGACUAGUUUCAGCGCUCCGAGUUUCAAAGAAGCUCGGAGCUUGACGCCUGGGCAGUUGGCCUCAGGAGGACGCUUGGCAUUGGUGCGCCUACAUGGACAUGGUCGCCUAGUGGCAGGUGAUGAGGUGAUGAACCAAGAAACGAGUGGCACGCGGACCAGUCAUCUCUGUAUGUGUCACAUCGAAAUCGACACCACCAACUGCGUUGAUUUCUGGGUGUAGCUGGGGACGAUGCCGCGACAGAGUUGGAGCGUCGCAGGAGGGUGUGGAACCACGGUUUCUGGCGCGCGCUGCUUAUUCAAACAGCGCGUGGAGUUCUGCUGUUCUUCGAAGCACGAUCUUAACUGAAGAUCACGAGGCAUGGCCCGGAAAGAAAAAUAAACAGGCUGAGUUCUGCUCCGUGGUGGCUCUGAAAUAUUCAACAUUGCUAGAAACAAGGACCAGUCUUCUCUGCAUGUGUCACGCACGAUGAAAUUAAAUCUGAACCAACAACCACACUGAAUCAGAGUUCUGUUUAGAACGAAGCUGGCAUGACGCUGGAACGGGAUACGAAGUCGUGUGGAAGCACGGUUCCUCGCGUGCCAUUCUCAGAUUCAACAAUUGCUCACAGUUCGUGCUGCUCAAUGAAAUUUCUUCAUUCAUGAGUUACCCUUCUGACAACAUUGUAAUUUUCUUUGCCUUGUUAUUAUUUUGAUUAAUAUGAUACGAAAAACAUAAUUUCUUCACAUCUAAGUUUUCUAACAUAACCAAAAAUGAAACUGAAAAUUAGGAAACGGCUUAAACCUCAGACGGUGAGGGAGCUUUUGUUGAGAAAUAGUUGGACAGUGUUUUGGUACAUCAGAAACAGAUUAUCGUCCCUCUAUAGUUGUGAGAGUAAGGGAAUUCAUGGAAUUCUCAGUUCUGUCCCUUAUUUGCUCUACAUCACUAGUACUUGUCUGUCCAUAGUGCCCAGGGUUGUUGGGUGUUGGCAGUCUGGUGCUUCCAUUCUCUAGAGUGAACACAACAGAAGACAUAAGUGGUCUAUCAUCUGGGUUUUCCUGAACGCACAAGAGGGCCAUAUGACUGCAAAGCAAAACUUCAUCUAGUGAGCAAGUGCCCAUAAUAUAUGGGUCUGCCAAAUCUCUUGCCUUCCCCUCCUUCCACAUGUUCCAGGCCUGAAACAACCAAAACUAUUAUUUGGAAUUGCGGUAAUGCGAGAGCCUCUGCCCUCUAGACUCUGAAUUUAGUUUAUGACUUCAGGAAAUGCAUAUACUCACAUAGACUAUUAGGUUAGGAAAACCCAUGAUGCCACCACUGGAGCUUCUCCUUAUACCAGUAACAACCUCCAAGAGUAGGACACCAAAGCUAUAGACAUCGGACUUGAUGGAGAAGACGCCUUCCAUUGCAUAUUCCGGAGCCAUAUAACCACUGUUUAGUCAAUUCACGUGCAUAUAUUAUUGCGUGAAAGUUGAAUGUAGUUACACUUGUUUGAAAGAAAAUAUAAAUAGUUACUUACUAUGUUCCGACAACAUGAUGAGUGUUUGCAUUUUCCUGGCUAUCGUUGAAUAUCCUUGCCAUGCCAAAGUCUGCUAUCUUUGGUCUCAUCUCUGCAUCUAGCAAAACAUUAGCAGCUUUGAGAUCUCUAUGAAUUAUGGUCAACCUCGAAUCUUGGUGGAGAUAAAGAAGCCCUCUUGCAACCCCUUUGAUUAUAUUAAGUCGCAUAGGCCAAUCCAACAACAUUUUCCUCGAAUUAUCUGCACGAAGAUUCAAGGUAACAUAAUUUGGCUGUUAGGUGCUAUUUGUAAGAACUUAUAGCGUGUCACAUACCAAAAAGGGUAGCAUCUAAGCUUCCAUUAGCCAGGUAUUCAUAAAUCAGGAUUUUCUCAUCAGCCUCAACACUGCAACCAAGAAGUCGAACCAAAUUUCUAUGUUGCAAUUUAGCAAUCAGAAUUACUUCAUUCUUGAAUUCCUUUGUUCCUUGCUCAGAAUCUUUGCUUAACCUUUUGAUAGCAACUUCUCGACCACCUAGCAUCGCCUUCAAAAAAAGAAUAAGGACAAAAGUUAGAUUUGAGUUUAUCACACAAGCAGCUCAAUGUAAAUGGAGCACAUUAUUAGAAAUCGAUAAAAAAACAAUUUAAUUUCAUGACCCGAACUAGUAGGAUGAAAUCACUGUCGAAUUAAGUAAUUACCUUAUAAACUUUACCAAAACCCCCCUGCCCAAUCUUACAUGCCUCUGAGAAAUUGCAUGUUGCAUCCACGAUAUCCUCAAAUCUAACAGAGAGGAACUCAAAGUCUUGGGCGUGGUUUCCUUCCCCAAGUUCAUCAGAUGCACUCAUGUCAUCCAAAGUUAGCUUCUUAUGCUUUGCACCAUAAUUUACUCUACCUGCUUUCCAAAUUCUAUGACCAAUUGCUCCUCCGAAGAAAGAAAUAUAGACUUGUAAGAAUGCAACUAUGUUGAGUUCUACUACCUUUGAACUUGAACCAUGCUAGGGAAAUGGCAGCGAGGAUCAGAAGGCCACUUAUUAAAACCGCAGGGAGCACACUCUUCAGUGCGUGGCUCCUCUUCAUCCUCAUCUUACCUGUGUGCUUUACAAGUCAGCUCAUGUAGCACAACUGAUGAACGAUUAAGGCCUAUUUGCUCCACCACACACCCCAAAAAAAAAGCAUAAGACCUAUUUGGAGUGCACGAAUUUCACAUGAAACAUUUGAAUUUCUGUCCAAAUUGGUUUUCAAAGUUAAUUUCCUCAACAGUCAAGAUCAAGUCAGGUUGCACAAGUACCUUCAUCCAAGCCUGCAAUCCGUAGAUACAGCGUGUCGCUGACAUCCCCUACGCCUACCUUCACCGUGUCAAUCAGCUCACCGGUCCACACCAAGCACCUCGUCAGAUCCCCCUUCGUUCUGCUAGUGCUCAGAUUGGCAUAAGCAUACGCCACGCACGAACAGUUUCUGGUGCACUCCGCUGCGCACUCAUGGAGGGAUCGGUUCUUGACGAGCACGAACUUGUCCGGCGACGAAAUCCCAGGCAAGGCCAAGAAACCGUCGCUGCACAGCAGCGCCGCCUUUCGCCGGCACCCCUGGGAGAACCUACCGCUCCUCCAAUCUUCUAAGCUCGUUGGCUCAAAACCGUCGAGGCACUUGCACGUCGAAGGAAGCUUUGUGAGGUCGCAGUAGCCGUUCAGGCCACAGUAGCCGUAGCUUGCGCACUCACCACUUGAGGCUUUUGUCCGACCCAAGAGUAUCCACGCGGACGAUCUCCUGUUCCAGGUUUGGAGCUGGUAGUCGCCGGAGUCUGUGAGCACGUACCUGGUAUGCCCGGCGCCGUCCGAGAGGCUGAAAGUUAUGUAGAUUUCCUCCUCGUUGUUGACAACGGCGAGGUAGACGAUGACGCUGGUGUUCGUCAGGUACUGGGCCGUCUGGGUGGAAACCAUGUAGCCCGUCCAUGGCCCGCUGCGCCAGAUCGGACGGGUUCCGUUCCAGACGAAGAGCUGGAGGAACGUGUCUGGGUCCCCGCCCAAGGAGAAGGCUCCCGGCAAUGGGUCGGCGGGGCCCUUCCACGAGACCAGGCGCUCGCCGGCGCGCGUAUCGUACCUGAUCCGGAUCUUCAUGCCGGGGAGGAACGUGUCGGCCGGGUGGUCGAAGCUCUGCCAUAAGGUGGUGCCGUCCGGAGACCGGAUGACAAGGUUGCCGGUGUUGAGAAGCACCGCGGCAGCGCUGCCGGCCGCCGGAGCCGGAGCUGCACCGGCGACGUUGGUCGUCCACUGGACGCGGCCGCCCGCGUCGGACAGGACGAGGUCAGAGGCGUUGGUCAGUGACAGCGCCGGCGACGGAGAGGUACUGCUGUUCGUGACGGGGGUUUCUCUGUUGGCGACCCACACGACGGUGAGCCGGGGGAUGUCGUUGUACCAUAUGCCGAGGUACAGCUUGGCCGGAGUGGAGUUGGUGGGGGAGAAGAAGCCCAAGGCGAAGCUGCCACCGUCGGAUACGAUGGUGGCGCCAGGGGAGAGCGGCUUGCCGGGGACGAGCCGGUCAACGGCUGCACAUGGUGGCGGCGGCAGCAGCAGGAGGUGGAGGACAAUCGUGUACCUGACGAUAGCUGGCCAAGCCAUCAAGCUUGCACCGAUCCUUGCAACGCUAUCCUAGCUUAAUUAGCUUGCUGGUCAUGGAGGUUUUACUUGAGAAGAGAAGGUAUUGCUGCCUUGAUCCUUGAUCUACUGGCAAACGAUGUCAACGCAACUGCCUUGUGUUUUCUUAUAAAAAAGAACAGCCAAAAAUAAUCACGGGAGCGUCAUCUUAUAGAAGUGAUGGCGUUUUAUUAGAUGGUUCAAAGAAAGGGUGCGUUUCAGGAACCUCUACAGGCUCAGCAACGAAAGAACAUAACGUAUACAAGGUGUUAUAGUACAAGAGCUUGGAAGGGGUAUAGGUUGUUGUACUCAGCUGUGUCAAGGAUUCAGACACGUACUAUGGUUGACAUUUCAGCUGUCCACGUCAGCUGUUGCGAUAGUUAGGACGACAUUGCCUUUGCUGCUAGACAUACUAGUGACAGAAAGUGUAAGGAAUGUAUUGUGUCAGUUUGAUGCUGUCCCUUUCUUUCUUUUGAAGGGGUAUAUGUUGUUGUACUCAGUACAAGAAUACCAGUUUCCGUGUGGUUUCGUCCGUGGUUAGUUUCAGGCAAGACGUGAGAUUACGCACGCACGAUCAUAGUGAAAUCCAAGAGUAGCUGCUGCUCAUCAGUUAUUUCUUUCUUCCAUGAAUUACCCGUAAUAUUUAGAAUCGUGGAUUCUGAAUCGAAAAAAACCACCAUAUGAGUGUUAAAUAAUAUGAUUAUACCACCAUAUGAGUGUUAGUCUCCAAAGGUCAAAAUAAUAUGAUUAUAACCAUCAUGAUAGUAAAAAACAUAAAUCUAUCUAUUAUAUUAAUAAAUGAGUGUUAAAAGAAAUCAUCAUAUUCGGAAUUUGCACUGUCUAUUUAGAAAUUUCCACAUUAAUCUAAAAAAAGAAGAAUUUGCACCGUCGGAUUUUAUGAAGAUCUAACAGUUAAGAUUAACUCAAAGAGUCCAAAAUCAAAUACGAUAUAUAUAUAUAUAUAAAUAAUUUCGGAAUUUAAAAAUUAAGAAAAUUAGGAUUUGAUCAAAAGUUCUUGCCGGAUUGGUAAAGAGUUAAAUUUAGAAUUAAAAAUCGGCGCUAGCAGCGGUAAAGGGGCGCGCUUCGCCAUCAUUGUCUCCGCUUCGCCAUCAUUGUCUCCAUCACAACGAGGUGAUCGCCCUCUUCUUCUGGUGCUUGAUCCUCUACUUCAACGGCCAGAUCACGCCCCUCUUCACGUCCAGCGAGGUCAUGCUCGCCGCCGUGCACGACCUCUCCAUGCUUCUCACCUUCACCAUCCUCCUCAACAGCGUGCAACCCGUCCUCUCAAGCAAGCUGCCGACGAGCCUCACAUGACAUGACCUGACCUUUUCCAUGUAGGCUGUGGAUCUUCAAUAUUGCUGUUGCAAGGGUGAUGUUCGUCGGUUUAGGAUAGCAACGAACAUAGGCACUUACUACCUGAUCGGCACUUUCGGAUCGGAGUCGAGGUAAUGCUACAAAUAUUUCAUAGCUAGAUGAUUAAACAACAACAGCUUGUCCAUGGAUCAGUAGCAUCCAUCACGAUAUCGAAUUUUCCAAAGCACAGUAAAUAAGGAAGUAUGAAAAAAAACCACCACGUUUAUCAAGAGAGGCUAGAAAUUACCACGUUAUUCUAAAAAAGAGAAGAAUAUACACUGCUGAAUUUUAUGAAGAUCUAACAACCAAAAUAAACUCAAAGAGUCCAUAUCAAAUACGAUUAAUAGAUACAUAUAUAUAAUAUCAGAAUUAAAAAAUUAGGAAAGCUAGGAUUUGAUCAAAAGUCCUCGCCGAAUAUAAUUAGUAAAUAGUUAAAAUUUGAAUUAAAAUAAGAAAAAAACAGAUCUGAGCAAAACCAUGUCGAAUGCAAUUAAUAAAUAGUUAAAUUCAGAAUAAAAUAAAUAAGAAAACUAGCACUUGAUAAAACAAAGAGUCCAAGUUGAAUGCUGUUAGUAAAUAGCUAAAUUUGAAAUAAAAAAUAAAAAAAUUAAUAGUUAAUCAAAUAAAAAACUGAUAUUUGAUUUCUAUUAAGUUUGGGAACCAAAUUAUUACGUAAAUAGCCCAUGUAAAAUAAAAUUGUUUAAGCUACGUUUAGAAAUAUAGCUUGAAAUUGCCACACUAACAAUUUUUUUUAACUCUAAUAGUUUAAAUAAUUUCAGAGGGUUUGUUGAAAAAAUUAAUAUGUAGUUUAACUUGAAAUUAAAUAAUAUAAAAUCUAUAGUAUUAUAUAUUAUAUAUGAUUUGGUGCAAAAUAGAAUAAUAAAAGAUCCAUGUAAAUAAUAAAAUAAAUCACUUACAUGUAAUGAAAAGUAUAAAUUUUGAAAAAUAAAGGAACCUAGGUUCCUAAAAUUUUCAUGCUACUAUCAGUACUGGUACACACUUUUAUAAACAAUUAAUUAUUAAUAAUGGUUAGGAUGUUUGUUAGAAUUCCCUCAACGGGUAUAAAUAAAACAACCUCGCACAAGAAACCUAUGUAAAGCCUCAAAAUGGCUUAUACUAUAGUGAAGGAGAAAAAAAAAUAGCUUCACUGGUUUCGCCUCCCUCCAUAAGUACUAAUAAAUUCUUGGAAUUACCACGUUACCACUAAGAAGGUAUUUUGCCAAACGUCAGGCUCGACCAAAAGAGUUGAUUCACCGUUGAAGCCAAAGCUAAAACUAUUUUAGAAGAACCAAAAAUCCUACCAAAUAGAUACUUAGUUUGCGCGAUGGUUUAUCUUUGUCUCACAUUAUUAUGAACUAAAAGAUUGAGAUAGUGUGCAAUUUAGGGAGCGUGAUGAUAAAAACAAUAAAAAAUAUUCGAGUAGUCAUGGAGAACCACAACUUAAUAACAGUAGCUUAUAGGAAUAGAAAGUAAAAAAGUUAACAUGGAUCAAAUUCCGAAAGAGUAAUGAUGACCAUGAAGAAAAUAGUGGAUUAACCACAAAGAAGUAUAGUCAUAUAGCAGCAUAUAGAGAGCACAUGCACAAUCAUUAAAUUUGGACCUGAAAGUGAUGAGUUGAUAGAUCGCCAAUAUUCAAAAAGGUGAUGCUAGGCACUCGCCUAGACGCGCUUAUGCGCUACGUGGAGGGGUGCCGCCUCGCCUAAGAGGUUAGGCGGUGGAUAGGUGCGACCGGGAGGAGGCGGUGGCAGCAGGGAUGGUGUGCGGCGGCGGCAGAGGAAGCGGAGGUUGGGGCGGGCGGGCUGGCGGCGGCGGAGGAGGAGGAGGAGGAGGCAGGGGCGGGCGGGCGGAGGAGGAAGAGGAAGCACGGCCGAUGGGUGGGUGAGCGAGGAACUGAGGGAGCGGUUAGUGGAUAAGAGAGGAGGCUGGGAGGUGGGUUGGGUUGUUUUAAUGGGUUUUUUUCAAAGUUAAGCCCAUCAGCUUCUUCUUUUUCUUUUUAUUUUAGAGAUACAUGUAUGUGUAUAACAAGAUAUAUAUAUAUAUAUAUAUAUAUAUGUAUAUAUGUAUAUGUAUGUAUGUGCUAACGCCUUGAAACGCCUAGGCUCGCUUAGGCUCUAGGCGGUGGGUCACCACCUAGAUACCGCCUAGCGCUUUUUUGAAUAUUGUAGAUCGUCAAAAGUGCAAUAAUAAAGAUUAGGAGCACAACAAUGAUAGUAAGAUGGUACAGUCAUGUCAUAGCCGCGAUAUGACACUAGCUAGGUAACAAGGCCGAGUACCACCUAACAUGGCUAUAGAGGCACAAUGAUCACUAAUGGCAACAACACAAAGUAGCGAGAUGGUAAUUUCUUGGAAUGUAGCAUUGUGAUAAGUGUAUGUUCAAGAUCUAAAAAAAUUAGGAGAGAAGGAACGAUAGAUGAUGUAGUUACGUGUAACGCUGGUGUGAUCUAGAACAAAGAAAUAUGAAAGCCAAUGUUUGAAAUCCAUGCCUAUUUAUAGAAAUCUGCAUGAAGUGUUUGAAAAGAGAAAAAAACAAGGCACUGUCUGAUAUCAAGGAACAUAGAAGAGAGGCGACAAGCACAAAGAAUAACAUUAUACCUUACCAGCUACAACAGUAGAAUGUAGACCCAGUUCUUAGAAAGUGUUGAAAAAAUAGUGCAUCAAUCAUAAGACAUUAUGGAGUAUGCAUGCAUGAGCUUUAGGUACCGAAGAUUGGAGAAUAAAGAAAAGAAAGAAGAUUAUUUAUUUCUACUUUAUACGUUGAACUACUGAUCUAGGUCUUCUCUAAAAGCGUGAGAACAAUUCUGCAUGCAAAGUGAUGAAAACACUUGAGAAAAAAGGUGUAUCGCCAGUUAAAAAAUUUAAAAAUUAUAUUCUUAUCAAAAAAGUAUUCCAUAUAAUAUAAACAUGAGGCGUUAGAAGAAAUAUAAAAAACAUGUUUGUAUAUAAGAUAUUACCUUUUCUCAUGAAUUCAUAUUAUAAAAAUACUACAUAGUAUUUUAGAGAAAGUACUUGAUAAAAUAUGACAGAUAAGAAAUAACACAGAUAAUUCCUCAGUUUAGGUCAUCUGGAAAAAUAAUUAUGUUGACACCAUUUGAAAAUAUUAUUUGCAUAUUUUUAAGUAAAAGUAAAAUUAUAUAUGUAAUGAAAAAACUAGCUACCCGCGCUAUUUGCGCAAGUGACCUUGCUAGUUCUGUUGACUAUAUGUGUAAAAUCUAGUCUGACAAUCCAAAGGUAAGGUCAUAAAAUCUUAUGAUGGAAUCGAGAUUCUACCAACCAUGACACAAAUUUCUGUUGCAAGGUUGAGAAAGUGAGAAUGAGAAGCCUUCGAGUAAUUUAUUUUAUUUAUUAGUUGAUGAGUGAGAAGGUAAACAAAUCAUCUUUAAUUUUUUGGAAGUUGGUGGGAUCAAAUAUUUCUAUUUUAUAGGAAAGUUGAUCUCCUUUUAAUACUAAAUGGCAAGACAUCUCCUUUUAGUCAAAGUUUAUUUAUUUGAGUUUUUUCUUUAUUAUGUUAGGAAACAAAUAGUAUCAUCAUAGCUCACAGUGACUUCUCACAAAGAAAAAGAUGAAACAGAAAAAUUAGCAAGGAAAUGAGCACACAACGAUGAUAUUGUUUAUAAGAAGAAGAAGAACAGUAUGAUGAAAUAGAAAAAUAUUAGCAAGGAAAUGAGAACACAGUGAUUAUCGUUCCAGAAAUCAUCUUCCCUUUAUGUUUGUGAGAGUAAGAGAAUUCACUGAAUUGAAAAACUUUACCUCUUAUUUUUAAAAGAAAUUGGUGCUCGUAUCACGGGUGAAUUAGGCCUUUCUUAAAACUUUAAUUAAUAUAUGGCUCAACUAGUUUGCACGGAACAUAAACUAGAAUAUACUAUCUAGAUAUGCACUUAUCUAGAUAUGCAACUAGGCUUCUUUUAGUGACAAAACCUCGUUCCAAAGUAUUUUGCAACCUAUAGCCAAUUCUACCAGGUGGAUAAUACACCGUAAAGGCAUACAAGAUUGCAAGUAUGAAAUGCGGAAACUUAAAAAAGGAUGAGGGGAAGCAAACUCUUGAUACGCGGAUUUAUUCUGUGGUAUCGAUAGGCAUAAAGCCAUCCCUAGUCUACGUUAUUGAAGCGCUCACUAAUAGUAUUGCUUCCUAGUCACCAAGUCUCUUCCGAGAAUCUUCUUAACUCACCACUAAGGCUUAGCCACCGAGGCUCUCGCCAAGUACCCAGUCAUCUCGAUGUCGUCUCCACUAAGGGGCUUCUCCAUGAAGAAGUGGGUCUCCAUGUCCCACGCACAAAGACGUCGUCGCUGCUCCACACAAAUUCGGACGGUCAAAAACUUGCCAGCGAGUCACCAAGACUCCAAGGGGCCGGCACACCGAGGUACAAGCUUGAGGUCCACUAAAGAACCAGCACAAGAUCACAACACAUUACUCUCACACUUUCUCUAGAGCUAGCCUAGCGCUACACAUUCACAAAGCUUAUGUUAAACCUAAGGAUUUGAUCAAUAUUCACUUGGGUGGCUUAGAGAACUUCUUUGGAGUCUUGUUGCUUCUCACGAACUCCAGUGGUCUCAAAUGACACAGUGAGCCCAUAUACGAGCUAGAGAUACUCUUCUUGCCGUUACAUGCUUUUACCCAGAAAAUCAUAAAGCGUCGGUUAAACCGGUCACAUACGUCGGUUUAACUGGUCACUCUGAAGUUGCAUACUAGCCGUUAAGCUCUGACUGCCUGCUUUUGCUAACGUCAUUGCACCAACGUCUUACACCGGUUCAACCGAUGCUGAAAACUUUGCUUGAGAAACUUCUAGAACCAAAACAUACGUACUGAGUAACCCUAGCACACUUGCACGGACGCCUUCUUUUGCACCAUUAGUUUGGUACCUCUGUUAUUUCUUCACUUGAUUGCUAUGCUAUCUCCUCAUUGCACCGACGCCUUUAUACUUAUAGCGUUGGUUCAACCGGUGGUACUAAGUUCUUCUGCACUUGAUUGACAUUGCACAGUCCAGUGCACCGCUCGGUUCAAAUACGAUGCCGUCGGUUUAACCGACGCAUGUUUCAUGCUAAACCUUGUUCAAGUCAUCUCAACUAUUAUUUGGACCAUUUUGACAGCGAUUUAGACCAUCUUGUAUAUGGAUUGGACACUAUCCAUGGGACCUAGAAAUUCUACAGAGCUUACAAACUCGUUAACAAACUCGUUAAUCCUAUUAACUGUAUUCACACAAUCACCAAAAUCACAAUCAUAGUCUAAUAGAAUCAUGUUCCUUACAAUUUUGCUCCGUAUCACUAGUCCCCUGUCCAUAGUGCCCAAGUUUAUUCGGUGUUGGCAGUGUAGUGCUUCCGGUCUCCAGAGUAAGGGUAUUUUUGCACAAAUCUUGAUAAAACUAAAGGAUUUUUAUUUUUACCGUGCUUCUAUGUUUGUAAGAGUAAGAGUGUUCACGGAAUUGUAAGUAUUAUAUCUUAUUUGCUCGAUCUCAGUGCUCCUUUGUGCAAAGUAUGCAGGCUGGUUUGGCUUCGGAAGUGCGGUGCUUCUAUUCUCCAGCGAGAGCACAACAUAUGACAUAUGUGGCCUAUCAUCUGGGUUUUCUUGAACACACAGGAGUGCUACUUGAAUACAAAGCAAAAUUUCAUCUGGCAAACAAGUAUCCAUAAUAGAUGAAUCUGCCAGAUAUCCUGUCUUCCCUUCCUUCCACAUAUUCCAUGCCUGAAAAAUAAAAACAAGAACAAUCAUUUUGAUUGUGGUAUCUCCAAAAGUUUCAAAUCCUCUAACUUUGAUCUUGAGUUAUAACUUCACAGGUACUCACAUAGAUCAUAAGAUUUGGAAAACCCAUUAUAUCAUCAAUUGAGCUUCUUCUUACACCAGUUACGAUCUCCACGAGGAGCACACCAAAGCUGUAUACAUCAGACUUAAUAGAGAAGAUGCCUUCCAUUGCAUACUCAGGAGCCAUAUAGCCACUGUUCAACCAUUCACUUGCACAAAUUAUCACAGGGAAGUCAAAUGUAGUCAGAUGCCAAUCAUGCCUUUAUGAAAUAAGCACUCACUAUGUUCCAACAACACGACGUGUAUUUGCCUUCGUCUGGUUGUCAUUGAAGAUCCUUGCCAUGCCAAAAUCUGCUAUCUUGGGUCUCAUCUCUCCAUCCAGUAAAACAUUAGCGGCUUUGAGAUCUCUAUGAAUUAUGGUCAGUCUCGAAUCUUGGUGGAGAUAGAGAAGUCCUCUCGCGACUCCUUUGAUUAUAUUAAAUCGUAUCGGCCAAUCUAACAACAUUUUCCUUGAAUUAUCUGCAUGAUGGUUCGAAUGAAAGCAAUAUGUUUAUGAGAUGUCAUUUUGAGAUAUUUUUAAGAGCUUGUAUUAAGUUGUUACUUGAAUGUACCAAAAAGGGUGGCGUCUAAGCUUUUAUUAGGCAAAUACUCAUAAAUCAACGUCUUUUCAUCACCCUGAACACUGCAACCAAAAAGUCGAACCAAAUUUCUAUGUUGCAAUCUGGCAAUUAGGACAACUUCAUUCCUGAAUUCCUUGGUUCCUUGCUCAGAGUCCUUGCUCAUCCUUUUGAUAGCAACUUCCUUACCAUUUAACAUGGCCUUCAGAAAUGUAAAAAAGAAAAAUGGCAUACAAGCAACUCAAAAAUAAUUACUGGAUUGAAUCAAGCAGAAGCCUGUGCUGAGUGAAGAAAUAACCUUAUAAACUUUGCCAAAACCUCCCUGUCCAAUCUUACAUGCUUCCGAGAAAUUGUCUGUCGCAGCCACAAUAUCCUCAAAUCUGACAAAAGGGAAUUCAAAAUCUUGGGCGGUGUUUUCUUCCCCAAGUCCAUCAGAUGUAUUAGUACCACCCAGAAUUAACCCAAGCUUCUUGUGAUCUUCCCUAUUUCUUUUCCUAGCUGCUCCCAAAAAUUUAUCACCCAUUCUGUUCCAGAGUACCUCAUAGACAUAUAAAAAGAAGAAGCAGAGUUGGUACCUUGCAACUUGAAGCAUGCAAGGAUAAUUCCCGCAAGUAUCGCAAUGCUACUUACUAACACAGUAGGCAGCACAAUCUUCAUUGCAUUGGUCUUUGCUCUGCUUCUGCUACCUGUGCAAGGUCAGUGCAACGACUUAUGCAUACAAGCCUGAAAAUUUUAGCGAAGAAUUCAAAGUUUACUCGAUAGAAAGACACAAGAGAUGAAGUCGUUGGCACACCAGUAUCAUCCAAACCUGCAGACCGGAGGUACAGCGUCUCACCGCCAGCCAUAUCACCCAUCUUCUCCGUGUCAAUCAGCUCGCCGGCCCAAACCAAGCACCUCGUCACGCCCCCCUUCGUUCCUCUGCUGCUCAGGUCAGCAUAAGCGUAGGCGACACACGAACAGUUCCUGGCGCACUCCGCCGUGCACUCGCCGGCGGUUCUGUUCUGGACGAGCACGAACUUGUCCGGCGACUUCAUCCCCGGCAACGCCAAGAAGCCGUCGCCGCACCGCAGCGCCUCCUUCCGCCGGCACCCUCGCGAGAACCUGCCGCUGCUCCACUCGUCGGAGUUGGAAGGCUCGAAGCCGUCGAGGCACCUGCACGUCGGAGCAGCCAUGGUGCUGUCGCAGUAGCCGUACGGGCCGCAGUGGCCGUAGCGGUUGCACUCCCAGGUCGGCCAUUUGCCGAGAACCGCCCACGCCGACGAGCUGCCGUUCCAGCUCUGGAGCUGGUACUCGCCGGAGUAGGUCAGCACAUACCUGGUGUGGGCGGCGCCGUCGGAGAGGCUGUAGGAUAUGUAGGUGUCCUCCUCGGUGUUGACGAUGGCCACGUAGAUGUAGGCGCUGGAGUUGGCCUGGUACUGGCCGUCCACCAUGAAGCCCGUCCAGGGGGCGCUGCGCAGCAUCGGGCGCGUCCCGUUCCAUACGAACACCUGGAGGAACGUGACCAGGUCCGCGCCGUAGGCGAAGCUUCCCGGCGAGGGGUCGUCGGGGCCCUUCCACGACACGAUCCGCUCGCCACGGCGCUCCCUGUUGUACUUGUACUUGAUCCAGAUCUUCAUCCCGGGGAGGAACGUGUCGGUCGGGUGCUCGAAGCUCUGCCACAAGGUAGUGCCGUUCGGAGACCGGACGACGAGGUUGCCGGUGUCCAGAAGCACCGCGGCGAGGCCGGCGGCCGCCGUCGGCGAUGGCGAGACACCGGUGACGUUCGUCGUCCAAAGAACCCGGCCGCUGGCAUCGGACAAGGCGAGGUCGGAGCUGUUGGUCAGGGACAGCGCUGGCGGAGGGGAGGUGCUGUUUGUGAUGGGGGUCUCUCUGUUGGCGACCCACACGACGGUGAGCCUUGGAACGUCGUUGUACCAUAUGCCGAGGUACAGUUUGGCCGGAGUGGAGUUGGUCAGGGAGAAGAAGCCCAGGGCGAAGCUGCCGCUGUCGGACACGAUGGUGGCACUAGGGAACAGCGGUUUGCCGGGGACGAGGCGGUCGUCGGAUGCACACGGCUUCACCAACAGGAGGAGGAGAACAGCGGCAUACCUGAUUGCCGACCAAUCCAUCAGAUCAAGGUCUUCUCCUUUCAGAACGGCGAGGCGAUUUCUGAAAAGGAUGUGUAAUAAUAGUUCGUAAGACUGAAGAUUUUGCUUCAGCAUUGAUGUCUAAGUGUUUUUGUUUUUCCUCUUUAGCCUGACAGCAAUCAUGACCAAUGCAUCCGGGAAGCUUUGAAUGGGCUCGACUACGGAAGCAGUAGGUAAAAUAAUGCAAAAAUUUGAAAGUUUAGGCCAGAUUUAAUUUACCAAUUCAACCUCAUCUUGUGUUUGACAUUUGAGCAGUCCACGCGGACUGUGCGGUGGUUAGUAUGAGAUUAUCAUUUAUCGAUGCUGCCAUUGACAGAAAAGCCAAGAAGCACAUAUACUAAUGCAUAUGAUGCGUACAGAAACUAGAAAUGAUUGAUUGUUCGACUUUUGACGACUGAAGUGGUUGGUACACCAUAUGAAUAUGAUCAAUAACAAUCAGUUUCCUAUGUUUUUUAUUUCUCACAUGUCUCAGGUUUAGUACUUUUCUGACCACAAAGAUAAGCUCAUCUAGGUUUGUUCUGAGUUUCACUGUUAAACUUUAACUAGCAAUAUCUAUAAAAAUAUAUUGUUUUAAAGUAAAGGGUUAUAUACAUUAUGUAAGUAUUUUUUAUAAAAAAAUAUAUUAGUAUUUUUCAUAAUGAAUCUAGUAAUAUCAAUCUUAUCUUGUCAACCUAUAUAUAAUUUCGUUACAGAACAGAAGAGCUGUGAAAAAUGGAGCUGCAAAAAUAAUUUACCUUGCUAACCAUUAAUUUUGCAUCAAUAUUACUCCAUUAGUGUUCCUUCAAAGAAAGGUUACCAUAUCUGGAAACCAAAAAAAAAAUAUCUACAUGCCCUCUAGAACUGAAAGAGUCAAACUGUUCUUUGAGAUUUGAGUAUUGUCUCUUCUCUGUUCUACUUUACUAUUAGUAUGCGCAAAAUAUACAGGUUUACUCGAGGCGGUAAGUGGAGUGCCUCCAUUCUCCAAAAUGAACACAACAGAUGACAUCAAUGGCCUGUCGUGUUGUCCUGCACACACAGGAGUCCUGUGUGGAUGCAAAGCAAAGCUUCAUCUAUUAUGCAGCUAUCUGCAAUGCUUGAGUCUACCAAAAUCCUUUGCCUGCCCUUCCUUCCAUAGAUUCCAAGCCUGAAUAAAUCAGACUAAUAACUGAGGUUGCGGAACAUAUGAAGCAUUGAGGUCUACUCCUUUCAAAUUCAGAAACCGCUUAUACUCACAUAGACUAUUAGGCUUUCAGAUUCCAUUAUCUGGUCACUGGAGCUUAUCUUCACACCACUUACAAUCUCCAAAGUCAGAACACCAAAGCUGUACGCAUCGGACUUCACAGAAAAUAUGCCUCUGAGGGCAUAUUCAGGCGUCAUGUAGCCACUGUUAGUAUUGUACCAGGAAGAGUUAUUUUUCUUUGAUUUAUUAGGUUUGCCUGUAUGGUAAUUUCAGGGAAAAAAAUAUUACUAUGUUCCGACAACUCUCUUUGUGUUUGCAUUUUGUUGGUUAUCACUAACCAUCCUUGCCAUACCAAAGUCUGAGAUCUUGGGUCUCAGUUCUUCAUCCAGCAAAACAUUGCUUGCUUUCAGAUCUGUAUAUUAUCUUCAGUCUUGAAUCUUGGUGAAGGAGAAGGUCCUCGGGUGCUCAUGGCGGCGGCAGCAGGAGGAGAAGGAGAAGGACAGUGGCGUACCUGAGAGCUGGCCAACCCAUCGGUGAGCCGAAUUCUGAGAAGAAUGCACCAACACAAGCUGUUGGGCAGGGAUCGAUCGACUAGCCAGUCCAGGGCAUCUUCUUUAAACUUUUAUUGUUACGAGUUGCUGACAUGAGACUUGAUCUACAAGCAGCUAUGAGCCGAUCACAGAUCGUUUAAACUUUGACGCGGUUGAUCUCAGAUUGAAAUGAACAAAAUAAGGUAGUUUCAGACUCAUACUGGUUGACAUUAUUCCAGGUGUGUCCAUCAGUUCAUGGUCAGACCACGAGGUAGUUAGGAUGCCAUUGUCGCCUCUGUCAGCCACACUAGUGAUAGAAACUAUAAGGAAUGAGGUGAUCUAAACGAUUGGCCACGCCGUCAGUUCUAAUUACUGCGUGCGUUCUGCACAGCGUUCCUCCCCCAGCACCUGGGAAAAAUAACUUACCUUACAAACCAUCUAUUUUUCAUUUUUAGUUUCUGAGUAUUCAUUCAAAGAACUAGCCUAUCAACCCGUGCUCCCGCACGGGCUAAAUAAAAUUAAUAUAAAAAUAAAACUUAUAGCUAAUAAUUAUAAUUAUCUAUCUCACGCCCUCUUUUAUCUAUUAAGUAUUCUAACACAUACUCUAAAAUAUAUAUUUAUCAUUAUCUAGUUGCAAUAGAUUUUAUUUUGCAUCACACCUCUAUAUGUGUUUAAUAUUAUUUAAUUGAACCAUUUAUUUGUAAAUUGGUAUUCUUAUCUCUUCCAUUGUACAUGAAUACAUGGUGACAUAUAUCGUGGGUAAUAUUAUUAUAUAAACAAUAACAUAAAUAAUAUAUUAAUAAUGAUAGAUAUAGUAAUUUAGAAUUUUUUAUUGGUGCACUUUAAUAUUUUGUUAUAAUUAUAUAAUUUAGGUUCAGAUUUAGGGAUUACUUUAACUUUUAAUAAUGACAUAAUUGGGUAAUUUAUAUGCAAAUUUAGAGGGUUAUUUGCAUUAUUUUUGUAAGGGCAUAGGUAGGUAAUUUACACAUAGAUUAGGGGGUUACUUUAAAUUUUUUUAAUAAUAGCAGAGGUUGGUAAUCUAGAUACAUAUUUAGGGGGUUACUUUAGUCUAUUCUUAUAAUAGCAGAGAUGGUAAUUUAUUAGAAAAGAUAACAGAUCCAAUGACUAUUAAGAUUAGAGUUAUCGGGUUGAUGGCCCGGAUGUUUCUGAUUUUUGUGAGAAUUUCUAGAAUUUCUCUAUUUUUUGUAGAGUGUUCACUUAGGAUUCUCGGUGGCUUCACGUAGAGGCUUAAAAAAGAACCUUUAAUUAUUCAAUUAGUAAUAGUAAGAUGGUUAUCACAUCUUGAAACAAAAAAAAGGGCCUAUCUGCCCUCUAGAACUAAAAGUCACACUGUUCUUUGAGUUUUGAGUAUUGCCUCUUCUCUGCUCUACUUUACUAUUAGUAUGCGCAAAAUACAUAGGUCUAUUCGGGGCGGGAAGUGAGGUGCUUCCAUUCUCCAAGAUGAACACGACAGAUGACAUCAGUGGCCUGUCGUUGGGGUUGUCCUGCACACACUGGAGCCCUAUGUGGAUGCAAAGCAAAGCUUCAUCUGGUAUGCAACUCUCUGCAAUACUCGAGUCUACCAAAUCUUUUGCAUGCCCUUCCUUCCAUAAGUUCCAUGCCUGGAUAAAUAAAAUUAAUAAACUGAGGUUGUGGAACUUAUAAAACAUUGAAGUCUACUCCUUUCAAAGUCAUAAAAAACUUAUACUCACAUAGACUAUAAGAUUUUCAUAUUCCAUUAUGCGAUCAGUGGAGCUUAUCUUCACACCACUCACAACCUCCAAAGUCAGCACACCAAAGCUGUACGCAUCAGACUUGUCAGAAAAAUAUGCCUCUCAGGGCAUAUUCAGGAGCCAUGUAUCCACUGUUGGUAUUGUACCAGGAAGUGUUAUUUUUCUUUGAUUUAUCAGGUUUACCUUUGUAGGAAUUACACGGGGGAAAAUAUUACUCACUAUGUCCCAGCAACUCGCUUUGUGUUUCCACUUUGUUGGUUAUCACUGAACAUUCUUGCUAUACCGAAGUCUGCGAUCUUGGGUUUCAUCUCUUCAUCCAGCAACACAUUGCUUGCUUUCAGAUCUCCGUGUAUUAUCUUCAGUCUUGAAUCUUGAUGGAGGUAUAGAAGCCCUUUAGCAACCCCUUUGAUGAUGUUGAACCGUGUUGGCCAAUCUAGCUCUAUUUUUCUUGUACUGCCUACAAAUAAAGGGCAAAGGCGGCAUUUCCCAUGAGCAAUGACCAACUUGUUGUGUUAAAUCUUGGAACUGUAAUGUUCUAUGAGGAAAUCAUACUGAACAGUAGAGCAUCUAAGCUUUUGUUAGGCAUGUACUCAAAGAUCAGUAACUUUUCGUCGCCCUCUAUGCAGCAACUGAUAAAUCGAACCAAAUUCCUGUGCUGCAGUUUGGCGAUCAGAAUAACUUCAUUUCUGAAUUCCGCUAUUCCUUGCUCGGAGUCCCUACUGAGCCUUUUGAUGGCAACUUCUCGACCAUCUAACUUUGCCUUGAAACAGAAAUGGUAAAUGGAUUAGCUAGGCUCGAGUAAUCAGGCACGAGAGAUGUGUGGAUGAGUUAAACUUUGCCAAAACCUCCUUGUCCUAUCAUGAAUGAUUCGUGGAAAUUAUUUGUCACAGCUGCGAUAUCUUGGAAGCUUGCAACUGGAAAUUCAAAGCCUCCAGUAUCGUAGGAUUUGCUUCUCCAGAGUGCUCCAGCAUAUUCAGCUUUCCAAGGACUAUAUCGUAUUGUGUUUUCCCCUUUUUGUUUUUUACCUGCUUCCAAAAUGUCAAGAACGUUUCUUCUCAUGUGAGGAUAAUGAGAGAAUUCAGCAGUGCAAAAACCAAUUUCCCUCUGAUGAGUACAUGUAGAAGUGUAGUGAAGUGAAGUAGUGCCGGUACCUUUGAACUUGAACCAUGCAAGGGAAGCGCCUGCGAGUAUCAGAAUGCCGCUUAACAAAACUGCAGGAAGCACAAUCUUUACAGCGCUGCUGGUCUUUGGCCUAGUUCCUGUGCAAAGUCAUUUCAGGGAAGUGAGUGAGGUGCACGAAUAUAUCACAAGACAAACAACGGAUCAAAGUUUAUUUGAUGUAGAUAGAGGAGAUGAGAUCAAUAGCACACCAGCAUCCAAGCCUGCGAUCCGGAGGUACAGCGUGUCACUGCCAGUGCCAGCCACAUCAGUCACCUUCUCUGUGUCAAUCAGCUCCCCGGCCCACACCAAGCACCUCGUCCCGUCCUUCGUGCCGCUGCCGCUGCUGCUCAAGUUGGCAUAGGCGUAGGCCACGCACGAGCAGUUCUUGGUGCACUCCAUGGCACAUUCCUCCGAGGUCCGGUUCCCCACGAGCACGAACUUGUCCGGCGGUUUUAUCCCCGGCAAGGCGACGAAACCGUCGUCGCCGCACCGCAGAGCCUCCUUUCGCCGGCACCCAUGAGCGAACCUGCCGCUGCUCCAGUCCUCCGGGAUCGCCGGCUCGAAACCAUCGAGGCACUUGCACGUCGGGACGGUCGCCGUGCCGUCGCAGUAACCAUACGGACCACAGUGGCCGUAGAGGUCGCACUCGUCGGCGGGCCAAUUGCCGACGAUGGCCCACUCCGACGGUUCCCAGCUCUGGAGCUGGUACUCGCCGGAGUAUGUCAACACGAACCUGGUGGGCGCGGCGCCGUCGGAGAGUCUGUAGGUAAUGUACAUCUCUUCCUCGGUGUCGACGACCGCCAUGUAGAUGACGACGCCUGCGUUCACCCGGAGCUGGCCGCUGAUGGUCAGGUAGCCCGUCCACGGGGCGGUGCGAGCCACCUGACGCGUCCCGUUCCAGAUGAAGGCCUGCAGGAACGUGUCUGGGUCCAUGCCGUAGGUGAAGCUCCCCGGCGAGGGGUCGUCGGGGCCUCUCCAGGACACCAGGCGCUCGCCGUCGCGGGACCUGUACCUGACCCGGAUCCUCAUGCAUGCCGGGGAGGAACGUGUCGGCCGGGUGCUCGAAGCUCUGCCACAAGGCGGUGCCGUUUGGGGACCGGAUGACGAGGUUGCCGGUGUUCAGGAGCACUGCGGCGAGGCCGGUGGCUGCCGGCGAGGAGCUCGAGUCACCGGUGGCGACGUUGGUCGUCCAGAGGACACGGCCCUCGGCGUCCGACAGGACGAGGUUGGAGGUGUCGGUCAGGGACAGCGUUGGUGCAGAGGUCGUGCCGUUUGUGGCCGGGGCUUCCCGGUUGGCGACCCACACGGCGGUGAGCCUGGGGAUGUCGGUGUACCAUACGCCAAGAUACAGCUUGGCCGGAGCGGAGCUGGUUGGGGAGAAGAAGCCCAAGGCGAAGCCGCCGCCGUCGGAAACUAUGGUGGUGCCCGGAAGGAGCGGCUUGCCGAGGACUAGCCGGUCGUCGGAUGCACCCUGCGGCAGCAGGACAAGGAGGACGGUGGCAUAGGUGAUAGCUGAGCGAUCCAUCGAUGAGUCGAAUUCUGAAAGUAUCUGCUGAUAACCUUGUAGUAGCUUGUUGGGCAGGGAUCAGCUGCACGACUGAUGAUCUUACUUGAUGAGGAGUUGCUUGUGCCUUGGAAUGGAAGCAACCUGUACUCUUGACGAACAGGGAGAUGAAACCCCGUUUGAUUUUAUUUAUACGAAAUUAACCAAUAUAUAAUCACGGAAGUCUAAGUUACAGAGAUGGAGACAGGUAAUGGCAAUCAUAUGUUGCUUCAGUCCAAAGGAGAGGGGUAUGUCAGCAUCGAAGAAGCUUUUUUUUUCUUUCAGAUAUAGGCCCCGUUGAAUCUAAGUACUAAACUUUAUCACUGUAGCACUAGUUUAUCCAAACAGAAGUGUUAAUGGAUAGGCUAAACUUUAGAUGAAACUAAAAGAUUUUAAUAAAAACUAAAAGACUUUAAUAAAGGUACGAGUACCAGUAGGUGCUAAAGUUUAGCACUCAACUUUAACCCAGGCUGUAGUUUUUUAUUUAGGAUUUUGAUUGCCUUACCUCGGUUCAUUAGUCCCUAGGUUCAUACUUAGAGCCUGUUUAAUUGGCUAAAGUUAAGUGCUAAACUUUAGUACCUAGCACUCAUAUAUUUGCUAAAAUUUUUAAGUCUUAAUUAAAAUUUAGUCUAUCCUAUUCGUAUGUCUGUUUAGAAAAGAAAAACUAGUGCUAAAGUUUAUAUUAGCACUUAGAUCAAACACGCAUUAGUUAAAAAAGCACAAUUGACAAUUUUGGUAAAAAAAGCAGGAAGAAGGUGGGCCGUGUGCCAACACAGGCAGUUUUAGCCCAGGCAAAAGCAGGAAGGAGGCGGGCCGCAUGGCCGUGCGGUAUACUGGGCCGGAACAUGAUCGUAGGUUUCUUCUGCCCUAUGCGUGGCCCAAAGCUCUGCCACACCGCCGCGGCGCCGUUCGGCGACCGGAGGACGAGGUUGCCGGCUCUCGUGAGCGUGGCGACCGUGCCGGACGCCGAGGACGAUCAAGUCGUGCCAGCGAUCACGUUGGUCGCCCAAACAACGCGACUGCCGGCGUCGGACAAGACGAGGUUGGAGGUAUUGGUCAGUGCAAACGUCGGCGCAGAUGAGGAACGACGGCCGGCGACGCUGAUCGGGGUUUCCUGGUUAGCCACCCACACGACGGUGAGGUCGGGGAUGCCGUCGUACCAAAUCCCCAGGUACAGCUUUGCAGGGGUUGAGUUGGAGGGGGAGAAGGAGCCGGGGUCCGAGACGAUGACAUCGCCGGGAAAGAGCGUCUUGCCAACGACAAGCUGGUCAUCGGACGCGCCCAAUGGCAGCAAGAGGAAGGUGAGUAAGACGACGGUGCAAGCUGGCAAGCACGUCAUGUCUUCGUCUUCUUCUGCAGCUCUCUCAGAACAUCCUCGCCAGGACAUUGAGCUCCUUGACUCGAGGCUUUCUUUCUCUGCACGCAGCAAUCUGGGAGUUAUCUACUGGACUGAGAAUAGUUUACUGCAGUACAUAGUUCGUUGAAUUUGAGUAUUUGACAUUUCUGGGCUCCAUGUCGUAACCGUGUAUUAGGAUAACAUCAUUAUAACUAUGAUAUGCGAAAACAAUUUGCUAUUGUUUACGGUUGGAAUGGAGACUUUUAUGCACAUUCCGUAGGGCCAGGCCCAUGGGCCGUAAUGACCCAACCCAAGUUAAUUCGUCAGUUAUGCGGCCCGUAUACGGUCCACGGUUAGGCCCAUUAGAAAAGCAGGUACGCUCACGCGUAAUAUACACUGACACGUGGGCCCGUCGUGAGUACAUAUGGAAACAACCACCAAGCAUUAAAUGCAUCUUCCCCACCUCGGAUGACACGUGGGCCCGAAAUCUUCGACCACUUUCGCGAGAUUGCGGAAUGCCCGAACUGACCCUCCAAGAAGCACAGGGCGGGCGGAAGAAGCACACCGUGAAAACUCCCGCCUUCAGCGGAAAAUAACCCGAACCGCACCCACAUAGUCACUGACGGGUAGGCCCAGGGACCCCCAACUAUCCAGAAUCCAUCGAAGCAGCACCCGCAGGCUAGCCAGAGUUCACGUACUCGUAGCGGGGAAACGGUAGCCAGCGGCGCGCCGUGCGGCCAAUGGGAGGCGAGCCCCCGGAUCGGUGACGUGGCGGAAAAUUUUCAGAUCCCGCGCAAACGCUCACCGCCCCCGCCUUUAAAGGCCGCCCCCCUUUCCCCUCCACUUUGCAUCACGCAACGCCCACAGGCACUCGUCACGCGGCGCACGAGCAAACACGCAAACCCACGUCCCGAACCGCCCGGAAGGUACUGCGAGUUCGAAAUCGAGAUCAAAUCGUUGCGAAUUCGAGGCUGUUGGUGUGGGUUGUCGCUGAGGUCUUUUGGUUUUUUUGUAUUUGGUGUGCCAGGUUCGGAGAUGAAGUCGAGGGCGAGGUCCAGCGGCGCCGACUCCAGGUACGAUCCGAUGGCGCCGACUCCUUUCCCCAUUCUCGUGGUGUUUUACUGUUUUGGUGGUGGUUUCGGUUCGUUUUGCUUGGGGUUCUGACGGGGUUUCCUUUGCUGUUGUUUGUUGGUGGUGGUGCAGGCUCUCCGUGAGGAAGUCCAAGGCCGACAAGGACCCGAACAAGCCCAAAAGGCCUCCGAGUGCCUUCUUCGUCUUCAUGUGAGUGCUAGAUUCAUGGGGCUUUUGUGAUUUUUCCCCCGUGUUGUUUUGGUUUCGUUCUGAUCGACUGGUGCGAUGGUUUCUGCAGGGAGGAUUUCAGGAAGGACUACAAGGAGAAGCACCCCAAUGUCAAGCAAGUCUCCGUGGUAAGCGUUGUUUCCUCCGCGAAUUCGUCAUUCGAUUCGAAUGUUUACGUGGCUUGUUUGCGAUAUUAUCGUUUCUGAUGCUUUUGGCUUUGUGACUCGCAGAUUGGCAAGGCUGGUGGUGACAAGUGGAAGUCCCUGUCCGAAGCUGUGAGUUUGCUUUCUCCCCUUUCAGCCGUUCGAACUGUCUAGUUUGUUUCGUUGUGCUCUUUGGUCGUUUGAAUGCCUGUUCAAAUUUCGUCUUGGUUGGUGGCCCUUGCGUUGUGCAUAUAUCUGUGGUUAUUGCUGAAAUGUUAGAUCUGCGAAAUUUCUGUGUUCGUCGAGUUCAAGUUUUGAGGGACAUGCCCCAAUAGACGGUUGCCAGUUCAAAUUCCACUCAUGACUUGUUAUUAGUAAUCUUAACUGGUGGUUAA
rnacentral:lncRNA from 1 species